AUAUAUACAUAUUAACUAGCUUGAUUUUGCGUAACUACUAAAGUUUGCUUCAAUUUUAAGACAAGGUUGUAUAUCUACAUCAUAUCCUUUAGAAAAUAAUAUAGUUUUGCAUAUACACAGAAAAUGUUUUCCAUUUUGAAAGGAAAGAGAAUGUACAUAGAUGUGGCAUCCUCUAAAAAGUUGAAUGGGCAAUGAUAAUGAUGGUGCAACAACCGAGGACAUAUUUGUGAUUAAUUAAGUGCAACACUUAACCCUAUUUAGUAGGUAGCAACUGUAAUAACAGUUGUUAUUGUUAUUCUGGUAAUUGUCUGAAUUAGUUGUGCUGUUCUUAUCAUCAUAUAGAUAUUUAUAUGUAUCAGGUUUUUGUUUUCAUCUCCAACUAAUUUUUCUAGAUUUUCUUGAUGAAGAUGAUGGGUUGUUGUUCUUGAAAGAUUACUAUGCCUCAAAAAAAUGCAAUCAGUUGUUUAAUUAGGCUAAAAUUCUUCAGUAGUUCCUUUUCGCUAGUAAUAAUAUAUAUAAUUGGUUUUAGAGUAUUAAAAUCUCCAUCUGUGUACUCAAUUGGGACUGGUAUUAAAAUCUCCAUUUGUGUAUUAAAUUGGGCUGAUAACAAUUAAACAUGGAGACAUGUAGACAAAGCACAUGAGGAAGGACCACAACUUCUCCCAAUUACAUUAACAAGUAGAGGCACAUGGCUUCUAUUUAGUAGUGUAGCCCAGUGUUAUUUGUGCUUAUUUAGCUUUGGCCUUCAUUAAGGUUGGUGGAGAGGAAGUGAUUGCAAAGCUGUGGGGAAUUUUGUGCCUUUCCUACUCCCUCUUAUUCUUAGUCCAUGAAGAGAUAGCAAUGUGUCUGAAGGACCCCUCCCAGAUUCCAUCUUUGUUGGUUGCCAUUCAUUGGUUUGCUUCUCCAUAUAUCAUCUCCAGCUCAUCAUCCACCAUUGGGCCAUGAACCAUAUCUGGGGUUUUUGAACAACUCCUGCAGCUAAUGCAGAGUUAAUUUAGCUUUCCACUGCAGCUAGAAGCAGAAAUCUCACUCGAAAAGCUUAUUUCAUUUUUCCACCACAGAACAAAACUUUAAACCUUCUGUUUGGAGAGCUACACUGGCGGAAACUCCGCCUUGACAUUACACAUACUUUAGCAAGUAUUGCAGCACAAGGGCCGAUACAAAUGUGCAUUUAAAGCAAUUGAAAAUGGCUGGAGGGGGAAAAAACAAAAAACAAAAUAGAGCUGUCCAUUAUCUUCUGCCCUCGACUACACGCAUGAUUAAUUGAUCAACCAUGGAUGCAACUGGAAGAACAGCGCAAUUACUAUCAUGUUGGGCGGGGAGGCCAACAAGAAUCAACUGGACAAGAACUUGAGAUUGUGAAGCCCUUGGUGUCUGCUGGCCCAAGGUGAAAUGCGGCUUUUUUUAUCGGCCCAAAAACUCGGAUAAUAAGACAGUUUAUUAUCCCAUAGGAGGACUCCAACUGAUUCUCAUGGAUUGAAACGGCGAACAGUAAUUCUAAAGCUUCAUAGUCGAAGUUGCUUCCAAUCCGGUCGAAUUUUGUCCGAGCAUUUGAGCAGAGGCUUGGGUAGUCAUUGAUGUGUAAAGUUCACAGCUCCCUCAAGCCAACAAAGAAUCACCAACUCCUUAGAUGUCCCGAACAAUGCAGCAACUCUCAUUAAUGGGGAAAACAGCUCAAUCUAGCUUCAGUUUAGCUGUUUCUUGUCCUGAACAGCUUUUGAGGCUUUAGCCAACUCCUCGGCAGUAACUGGCUUGUGCAGCUGCAAAAAUUAAAGAUGACAUCUUAGCAUUUCUAGCAGGCUAAAUCUUUAUGAAAUGUAUUCUCUGUAUCAGUUCAACCUAAGAAGUAUAUACAGCACAAGGGGCGUGAGUUUGUUUAUGUAAUCCUUCAGGCAUGAGAGAGCUAGCAACAGCAGCACGGAAUUAAAUAAUAUUAUGCUGGAAUUUUGGUUCACAUUCUUUUGUCAUAAUUCCCGAUUUGUAGAUGGUAAUGUGAGAAGACAACUUAUACAAGAACACUCACCGCAUUGGCAACAGGAAACCAAUGGAAGCACCGAAGGAGAGGGUCAUCCGUCGAAGGGAGAAUGUCAUGAUCCCAAUACGUUACGCUACGAAACUCGGCACGUGAUGCCCAACUACUGAAAUCCCCAUCCGUCGAGCCUUCCGCAUCCUUUCCCUUCCCCAGUUUCUUCCUCUCCAAUAUAUAUCCUAAGCAAAUAUUUACAAGGAGAGAGGUUACAUUUCAGUUCAUAUACUUGAAUUCAUCUCGAAUGAUGAUAAAAUCUCGUAAGUGGUUCAAUGAAGUUGGUUUCGUGAACUUGCAUCCGUGAGAGAGAAUGGAGAUGUGGUGUGUUACUGCGAUAACUUAAAACUAGUCUAUGAGGCAUCCCAAUCAGCGCUCGAUUGCAUCGUGAACAAACAAAUUGUACCUUAAAACCUCCAUGUAAACAUCAAAUAGGUGUCUUCUUGUUCUAUAUGGGCCGAUUAAAUGGAAAUUAGGAAGCUCGAAAAUCUAGUUCUACGGACUAUUGAUGGCACAUCAAAUUUCAUAAACCCUUAGAGACAGUCAACAAUGAGACUUUACGGAAUCACCUUCGAUUUGAGAUAUCCGAGCAGGCCCCUAGUUUAGUUUCAAUCAUAAAUUGAGGCUAGCAAAAGUUUGAACACCAAAGAAUAAGUUUCACCUCAUUUUCGCUUUCUCUAAUUUCAAAAUGUGUUGUGUUCAAAAAUUUUGCCUCAUUUUCCAUCUUUUUAAAGGAAAAAUCGGAUUUUGAUGAAUACCCAACACAACUCAUCAACAUGCGACCCCGAAAACUCACCGCGAUAGCCAUCGGGUAUGGGGACGGUGGCGCCCAGCAACUUCCUCCCUCUGAAGAAAGCCUCCUCCACGCUCAAUCCGUCCACCUCCACAUCUACAUCCAUGGCGAAAAUGGAUCGGAAAUUUAGGGUUUGGGAAACGAAUCGAAGAGCGCAAGGGAAGGGGAAACGAAGAUUACCCGUUGUCCGAGGCUUGAAGUAGUGGGAAAUGGCGCAGGGCCCGUUGUGCUUGAUGGAGCAGGGGAGGAGGUGGACGCCGCCGAUGGCGUCCGCGGCGGAAGGAGGCGGCGGGCUACGGCGGAGGCGGAUCGUUCCGGCGACUCCUCCUCCGUGGGCGGCGGCGGACGUGGUGGUGGUCGCCGGAGGAGAAACCCUAGGGCUACUGCGCUCGUCCUCCAUGGAUGGGGAAACUGAAACCCUAGCGAGGAUUUUUUACUUCUUUUUGGGUAAUGGUGUUGUAUGAGCUCGAUUACUUCCCCGCUCUAAAUAAAACACAAAACAAGACCUUUGAAAUAUAUAUAAACACACACACUAACACACACAUAUGACGUAUAUAGUAUAGUUUACUCUCUGAAUUUUCAAUUUAUUAAAAUUUAUUUCAUGAAUAAUAAUUUUAUUAUUACAAUCCACUGUAAUACUCUCACUCUCAAUGUGAAUUAGUCAAAUUUGAGUGAGUUGACCAACUUGUCAAUUUUGUAUUCAAUUAUAGCCUAUUUGUUGGAUAUUUGUUUCAGCACCCAAAUUCCGAGAUCGCUCAAAAUCACACUCAUAGUUGUACAAAAAUCGACCUUUUGAUUUCGGCGUAGGGUUGAAGUUGAGUUUGUAAAAACUCAUAAAUUCUUCGCGAAGUUCCAUUUCCAAACAACCCAUUCGACAACAAAAAUAAACAGUCUGAGAUUAACUUAUCAAGAGAUCACGAGUUUGACAGAUAUAUAUAUAUAUAUAUAUAUAUAAAUCGAAAGCAAGGUGUGACGAAUGAAACAUAUUAAUCAGCAAAAAAUUGCGAAGAGUACAAUUACACUGUUACAACUCGAACUUAAAGUACAACCUCUAAUGGUACAAACUCGAAAAAGAAAAAGAAGCACAAUGCCGAAGCUCGAAGUCUCUUCUUCCCCCUCUUUCCUGUUUAGUAAGCACGCAAACUACCAAUCGAAGAAGUCCUGGCCGGCCUUCGAAAGCAAUUCCUUCCCGGCAUCUUUGCCCAUUGCGACCAUAACAUCAUACUCGUAUAGCCCUGUUUGCGUUGUCUCCAAUACUAGAAGUUGGCCCCAAAAGAAAACAAAAGCCAAAAAAAAAAGAAUCAUCAGAAACAGUAAUCAGAUGAAAAAUGGGUUUUUUUUUUUUUUUUUUAGCUUGAGCUAUAUCAGGAUAAUUUACCUCGAGUACCAUCGGGUGAAGCGACCAAACCUCUAAAUGUACAGUUCCCGUCAUUAUCACGACAAGCAUAGCCAGCGAUCGGAGUUCGACAGGAACCAUCAAGUGUCUCAAGGAAUGCCCUUUCACAAGCAACAGCUAAUCUGGUCUCCUCAUGAUUCAGAGAAGAUAAAUAGUUAAUCUGUCAAAAAUCAAGUUUAGCUUCGAUUCCAUCUAUAGAAAGUUGUGUAAUAAGAGUAAUGCAAUGUAUAAGAUUAGCCCAUAUGUGUGUUAUCGAACACUAUUUUUAGAACAUUAAUUCUGCAGCAAGGUUAUGCCCCAUUGAUGUCAAUAUUAGCAACCAAUGAGUUCAUGUUCAAAAGGCAUCAUCUUUUUCCUUCUUAAACUUCGUUUAUGACUUAUAAGGAACUCUACGAGAAUGACUUCCUCGAUCCAUCCCUAAUCUACAAUGAAGAUAGAAUACUCUACCUGUCAACCGACCCUCUCUGAGCACUUAAAUAGAGGAGAUUACAAUAUCCAAAGAUUAUGAUGAACCAUGAAAGUAAGAAGAUACAUUAUUUUCCUGUUGGGGUACAAUGGAAAGAACUUUUUUUUUUGGCAAAAGAAGUUUGAAUCUAGACAUAGAGCCAUGCCUACUUUAGUUUUUUAAUAGUGCAUUGUCUUUAUUACAGAAAUGUUGAGCAACAUUAUAUAAUCACAUUGACAAAUUAUCGACAGAGUAGCCCAGCAUAUAUCUAAUUUACAAAGCACAAGAUAGCUAUAGGGACUCACUGAAUAAUAUUAUUAUUAAUACUCUUUUAGUUUGGACUCCAUAUAAUGCUUAAUUAAUUCUUUAAUAGUUAUGGAUCUACAGCAAGACUAUAGACGAUGACAGUUAUUUGAAUUUAACCAAGAAGUUAGUAUAUAAUAUGCCAAAAUUUAGAGUUCACGAUGCAUCUCUGCUGUCAUUUAUAGAAUAUAGUCAUCAUCUGACAGGUUUGCUUUCGCAUAGAGGCCACCUAAAAAUCAGUAUUUUCAGCCAGCAUUAUAAACCAUAAAAAUUUCCAUUUCCAGACCUCUAAAAAUUUCAAAUUAGCAUGUAUUUUGAAAAAAUAGUUAACUUUUCUUUCUAAUCUCAUCCUCUGAAAUAAGAAAAAGAAAACUGUAAUUAAAGAAAAAUAUAUAUAUUAUCAGGGAUUUACCAUUUUAUCAUCGUCGCUUCUACAGGCUAUUCCGAUAGCACCUUGAGCAAUUGCAGGAAGCAUUUCUUCCACAGAUAGUAUAGCUGUGAGAUUUUCAGUCAUAUUUAGCCGCUUGAGCCCGGCUAGGGCCAAUAAUGUUGCAUGGACUAUUCCCUCAUUCAGCUUCUUCAGUCUCGUCUGAACAUUUCCUCUGAAGUUUUCAACCUGAAAUUCAGGACUGUGAGACUCAGACAAAAGAUGCUUCAAGGAAGAAAAAGAAAAAUACACGUCAAGACAGACGAGACUCAACUAUGUUCUAAAAUCUAAAUGCUGUAGGAUAUAGUUGUCAAUAUAUAUAUUGGAGAGAUUUCUUUUUUCCUUGUAUUUUCACUUUACUUGGGCCGGUGGGUGGGGGGAUGGGGAUCAAAAUUUGCAGCGAACUGGAUCAAUUACUUUAUGCCAAAAGUUCCCAACAAAAAGUAAUAAGAUACAACUUGGCAGCAACUUUAAAGAACCAUCCAUCGGAUCGUUCAAGUGAAAGAAGGCAAGAACAUCUGGGCACACCUUUAACUAUAGGUUAAUUUGUAAUCGAUCCUGAAGUUAAAAGUUUUUUGGGAUCUGAACCCCUCAACCGAAGCACUAUUGGACUGCAGAAAAAUUCCUUCAACAGCAGUCCAUGUCAUUUUUUGGACUGAAAGAAGACACUGUCAUGCAACUUAACUAGUUUGUAACUUUUCAACGACUUUUUGACGACAUCAUUACAUUCUGAAGGAACCUAUAGGGAUUUUCUCAACUAAACAGUACACUAGUUGAGGUUAUCAUGUAAAAGGAAAGUAAAGGUUCAGAGAUAUGUUUUCAGAUGAGCUAUAGUUUAUUGGAUCUCUGCACAUUCUUGCCAAAAAUAGAAACGCACAAAAGUGCAAGAAGGUACUACACAAUGUUGUAAGAGUUAUCAAAAGAUAUAACAGUUGCGAUAAUCUCUUGCCCUGGAAAUACAAAUGCAUUAAAAAGCUUACCUUUAAGGAUGGAUAUCUAUGGAGGAUUUGAGACUGUCUUCUUAAGGAAGCACUUCCAACAACACUUCCAGCCGGAAGCUCAGCAAGAGAACUUGCAGUCAAGCUUAUAAAAGCAUCCCUGACAUCUUCUCUUGGUAAAUUGCACGGCAAAAUCAUUCCAUCAGGGACAUACGUGGGGACGUCCUUCAUCGAAUGAACUGCAAUGUCGAUUCUACCUUCCAAGAGAGCCUCAUCGAUCUCCUUCGUGAAUAAGCCUUUUCCGCCAAUAUCAGCUAGCGGUUGAUUCAGUAUUUUGUCACCCGUGGUUUUGAUGAUUAUUAUCUCGAUAGCUCCGUGCUCUGCCAAUUCUGGGUGGGUUGCCAUCAGUUUGUCUCGAGUUUCGUAAGCUUGUGCGAGGGCUAAAGGACUGUCCUACACAACAGUCAAAAGAUAGCUUACUCAAACUAGAAAAACCGACCAAGAAUUUUCAAUACCUAGAAAAGGCUAUAUAUUUUCUACAGUGGACGGCUCAAUGCUAAAAGCGAGUAGAGUUCCAAAAAUACUAUCGCUCCCGAGAUUCAGUAGUUAUACAAGGCAAGCUAUAGUACAGAGAAAAUUAACACAACAUAUGAGUAAAAAAAUAUAGCAGAGAAAAUAAAUAAUUGUGUUCACUACAAGCAAGCACCAGAGAUGAAUAGUAUAAAAAAAAACACAAGUUUUUGCUCUGUUUAAUGCCAAUACCCUAGAAUAGUGAAGGGUCGUGGAACUUGGAUCCUUAACAUUUUAACAAACAAAAAUGAAGUUCCAAAUCUGAAUACAAACAAGUAUAAAAACAACAAAGCUUAAAUUUUGUUCAACUUAUACAGGGCAAAAGCUAAAAUCCGGAUAAAAUACAAAUUAACAAGUCAUUCAAAAGUCAAAUAAAAGACUUAAAUUCGCCAUCUAGAUUGAAAACCCAGUAGAAUAAUGAGCAAUAUAAACUAUAAAGAAGUAGAAAUCCCCACUAAUCUGCCGCAUCAAUAUCAAAACAAAACAAGCUAAAAAUCCAACUUUGACCUAAAACCCCUAAUAUCUAACACAAUCAGAGAUGACCCGCCUCGAAUUUAACAAGGAUAAACCCAAAAAUAAGAGAACUCUACCUCCUCCUCAAAGAUGCAAAUGCUCAAAUUUGCCAACAAUAUUAUGCACACGACAAACUGAAGAGUAGCAAACCCCACAAAUCUAUGCAAUUAUUACCACAAAAACCAAGCCAAAGUUGCAAUUUUUACCCCAAAACCCCCAAUAUCGAACAAAAUCAGAGGAUGCGCACAUCGAAUGUAACAAGGAUAGAGCUCUACCUCCCUCUGGUCCCAAUCCUCAACAGGGAGACCUUGGCCUGGGUCUCCUGCUCCACGGCCACGGCCGCGUUACUGGCCAUGGUCCUUCUUCUAGGGCUUCUCGAGCGGGAUGGGCGGAGCCCAGUAGGCGAGGCGGGGCGGCGAAGAAGAUGAGAGGGAGAAGUGAGGAGAGGGUGGUGGGUAGCAGGGGAUCUCAUGGAGAUGGGCCACGCCAUUGUUAGGGUAGAGGAGGAGUCUGAAGAGGGGGUGGAGAAGCGGAAGAGGAGGAGGAGAGGUGUGGGCGUGGUUGAGGAAGCACCCACAUGAGAUUAGAGAAGGGAUUUGGGGGGGAUUUGGGGUUUUUAUACGCGGGAUGGGGAGAGAGAGAGCGUAGAGAGGAGGAGAUAAUGUCAGUGGAUUGGCCAAUCACAUCACUACCCUGCAUGUCUUUUUUUUUUUAAAAAAAAGGAUUUUUUUUAGGUAUUUAUUGCCAUCUUUUAUAAUAUUUUUACAAAUGUCCUCAAAUAGCCACUAUUUACAUAAUGUUAUUAUGUAAAGAGUUUGUUUGGUUUUUUGGAAAAUAUUUUAAAAAAUAGUUUUUUUAGUUGAAGAUGUACUUUUUGACCAUUUGGUUUCUUAAAAAGAUGACAUUUUUUCAAUGUUUUUUUAUUUGGUUCCUAUAAAAAGUAACUUUUUUAGGAUUUUUUCAGAUAUUAUAAAAAAAUUGUUACUUUGUAUAUUUAUAUUUGUAUUCAAAAAAUAUUUCAAAAUUAUUUUUUUUUAAAAAAAAGAGACAUUUUUCAAGGAACUAAACAACCCCCUAAAAUGUGAGAAUCAAAAUUCAAAUGCUGAAGGCUCUGUGGAUGGAAAUAUGAAACCAUUUUCAUAUAAAUCCUCUCAACAGGUUCACCUGAAUUGACUACAAUCAAACCUUUUGUAGUCCAAAAGUUUGCUUUAGCUCCUCAAUCCAGCAAAAAUCUCCUGAACUUUUCAUUGCAAAUGCUCGACUUUUGCUUCUCGAGUAAAUAACCAGUAGGAUACAAUAGGAUACCAUACAUGGACACACAUAAAACCAAAAAAACAAAAAAAAAAAAUUGUGUAUAAAGAGAUCAAUCAAUGGUUUUAUCAGAUUCAGUGAAUAUAAAGAGAUCAAUUCAAUACCAGAUCUACAACCAAAAGAUUAUCGUGCGAAAAACCAAAAAAAAAAAAAAAUAGAAAGGUCGAGAGUCCAGCUCAUCUCCACAGAUUGAAAAAAUUAUGGUACACUGCAACUGCAAGUUUGUUCUACUCAAAAACUAGUAAGAAAUCAGUUUAAAAAAGGAAAAAAAAAAAAACCCCUUAAUUGUCAGCAUCACUCGACCAUCCACAUACAAAAUGUAUCCGCUUUCACGCUUCGAGAUUAAACAGAAGAUAACCAUCAUCUGAAACAGCUUAUGAUGAAGUGUUUUUUCUCGCAAGCGCAUUUUCCUCCUCACUCCUGCUUCUUUGGCUUAUGAACCUUAACAUAAGGGAAGAUCCCAAAAAGAUAUACUACCUUGGGCUCCCAUCCGAGUUGCUGAGCCCGACAAAACAUGAGAAAAGUGUUCGCAAAGUAUGAGUUGAAGCCCAUCAAAACAUGCCACCAUGCAUGGCCUUGCGGGUUAAAGUACCAUUUAGAGAAUUUCUUGCAACAUAUGCGAUCGAAUAACCAAAAUAGAGUUCCAAGACUUAUUGUCGCCACAUAGAGCUUGGCGAGCCUCUUUGCGGCUGCGUCUCUGGUUUGUAUGUAGUACUUGUACAUGCGCGGAAUGCAGAGAAGGCACAAGGCGAUGUAGUGUAAUUUGAAUACUAUUCGGAAAUGGAAUAGAGCAUGGGCGACUGCAAAGGCAGCGCCGUAAAGGAAGAGGAAAGUGGGCAUGGUGCUUCUAUAGUGCCAAUCCGGUGAGUAAAGUACGUAUAUGUAUAAUAGCAUUUCCCAUACCAUUGGUGUCUCAUCACUUUGCUGUAGUCUGUGAAGUAAAAGGAGAUUAAGCAAGCGAAUGAGAAGAAAAAAGAGUGCACGUGGCAUAUAAACCUGUGUGAAUACAAUAUCCUAGUGUUGGGAACUAAAAGACAGUGAUUAACAAAAUGCCUUUCAAAGGUAAAUAUAGAUAUAUCAGUCCACAUCAGUGAAAGUUAUUCGCUAUUAUACAUAAACAUGAAGUCACAAAUUACACCAGCAUGAAACAAAAACCUGUUUGCCAAGCAUAAAGUAUUGCCUCAACAAACAAUAAACUAUAAUGUAUACCUAUAAUAUGCAGUAAAGGCCAUUGUUUGACGUGCGACAUAUAGGUUUCCAAAUAAUUUGUGUGGUAACAUUCAGUGGUUUUGAUUUCUAUUUUAAGUCUUUUAUGGUCGGUUUUCCGUUGAUAGUUUAUCACGACAGUCGAAUCAGCUACGUUAAAUUCAAAACCAACCUGUACAUUAUUCAUAGGGCCACAUAUCCAAUAUUGUUUGGCAUAGAGCAGAAGCAUGCAUACAGUGUUUCUAAAUCAAAUUAUGAAACUUGUAUAACACUCCAUAUAGCUUCAAAUUCAUGAGGUACAAAUGGUGAAAAUUACUCUGGUAUUGCAUGUUGAGGAGGAAGAAAAGGUCAUCAAUCUUUUCCUCUUCAAAAAUAUAGAUCAGCCUUGUCACAUCUCACAAAAUCAAGAGUGAUACAGAGUUACAGACAAGCAAUGAUACUAUACGAAAUACUAAGAAACAGGAUAAAAGGGAAGGGACAAAGAAAACUACCAUGAUAAUGAAGGAACUUACACAUGUUGUAAUGUGGCGUGGAAUAUCAUGCUCCCAGUUGCGAGUAUCAUAUUGGAUAUAUGAAGGACGCUAAACCGCUUCUCAAAUCGUUGCCGCAGGGCAUUUAUAAGGCCAACUAGUGCCAGAAUAAUGCAAGGAAUAUUUGAUAGGGUAUUAUAAAAUUCUGCAAUAUACGAGGAACGUGCAUAGUUCUCCUCACACAACUCAAUCGUGGAUGUAACUGGGCCCCAAAAGCUUGAUACCAUUGAACCAUCCAUUCUUGAGAUUGAAUAAACCUUAAAUUUCAAAUUACAUAAUGGGAAAACCUUGCAUAUAAAAAGACGGCGCUAAGUCGAAGAGCUAGCAAAUGAAAGCACCUGUACAAUAAUUCUUUUGGUAAGCAACUUAAUGACUACAUGUCUAGAAACAAUACCCUCACGAAGCAUUCUGUUAUGCAAAACUUUUUACCUGCUAAAUUUCCGAUUAGAAAAGUUAUAUCCUAAUAACUUUAGACCAAAUUCGCAAAAUGAUCAGUCGCAAUAUGUUUGAAAGGUUACUAAGAAAGUAAAUUAGUACAGCGCACAGCACCAAUUUCUGGUUCCCCCUGGAACAUAAUUUCAUCUCUACAAAGUACAAACCUUCAGACAAACCUAGUCCUUAUCUAAUGGGAAUCACAGCAAAGUAGCUUGAAAUACUAUUAGAAAUUCUUGAAUAACCAGACAAAGAAAGAGAAAUCAGGGUAUCAAGGAGAGAUUUCACUUGAGAUAAUAGCGUAACAAAUAAAACGGAGAAGGCGAUUAUGCAAAAUUUUCUGCUGUUUACAUUAUCCAAUCUACUCAUAUUGUGUUCGCUCAUAUCUAUCCUACUUACCUCUUCCAUCUCUAAGCUCCAACAUCUUCUACGUGAAGCACCUUGAAAGACGAUGAAGCCUUCCAAACAUGAUCCUAAAUAUUACACUUCCCCAUCACAGCUAUAGAAUUGAGACAUAACUCCAAGAAUAUAGCUGUAGAGAUUACAAUCAACAAAAUAUAGAAAAACACUCUUCCUUUCCUACUAGUUUUUCCCAGCAAACCAAGUAAAUGCGAGUUACUACAGCACAUAAAGCGACCAUAACAAACUCAAAAGGCGCAACCCAGCAAAAGGAAAAGUUAAAGCAUAGAGUAGAAUCAACUAAAGCAACACUUUACUCCUCUAAAGCACAAAAAAAGCACUUUUUUUUUCUUGCGAAUUUCUUACCACUAGAAGGGAAUAAGAUCCCUUUGUAAAUCGCCACACUAAAGUGAUGCCCACGUCUCCCUUCUCCAAUCUACACAAGAUUCCCCAAAGUAGAAUAUUCCACGCAUUAAAAACACUAAUUACUGAAGAACAACAACAGCAUUCUCGAACGCGCAUCAUUUAGUCACCAAAAAGCAAAACAAAAAAAAAACAGCGAAUUGCUAAUAAUUCGAAACACUUACAACAAUUAGAUUCAUAAUAAAGCUCCUAUACCUAACAAAGCAUCAAAGACACUAAAUUGACUACAGAUCUCACAGGAAUCACAAUCAAAAAGAGCAAAACGACACAGCAAAAGAUCGAAAUCUACAAUUGGAUCCCGGCGACGACUAGAAUCCAUAAUAACAACUACAAAAUACUCGGAUUAGAUCCGAGAGGAGUGAUCAACUAGGGUUAAAGAAGGAUUCGUGGGGUAUAAAAAACGCGAUUGAAGAUACAGAGAGAGAGAGAGAGAGAGAGAGAGAGAGAGAGAGAGAGAGGAGAUCGUACCUUCGGCGUAGCGCAAGGGGAUCGCAAGGAGGGAGAUCUACUUUAUAUGAGAAAAUUAAAAAUUUAUGGGGGUAAAAUAUUUUAUUUAUUUAUUUAUAUAAUUAUAUUAAUAUUUAUACAUUUAUUAUAAAAGAAGGUGAAAGUGUANUAAAGAAGGAUUCGUGGGGUAUAAAAAACGCGAUUAUAUAUAUAUAUAUAUAUAUAUAUAGAGAGAGAGAGAGAGAGAGAGAGAGAGAGAGAGAGAGAGGGGGUUAUAAAAAAGUGAGCUUAGGGUUUGAAUCUACUUUAUAUGAGAAAAUUAAAAAUUUAUGGGGGUAAAAUAUUUUAUUUAUUUAUUUAUAUAAUUAUAUUAAUAUUUAUACAUUUAUUAUAAAAGAAGGUGAAAGUGUAUGGAAACGCCCUCAAGUAUAUUAUUUUCUGAAAUUACCCCUGAUAUUCUAUAUGUUUUUUUUUAUUGACAACUUUUUUAAAAAAAAAUUGUUAAUUUUGUAGCCUAAUUAGACAUUAGAAGUUCAUGAAUUCAGAUUUAUUCGCUAUAAAAAUAUUUAAACUAUUAAUUUUAAUAAAUUGUUAGUUAAUCUGAUAAAGAUAAUUCAAUUUUAAAAAAUUCUGUUGGUUGAGGGGUCUUAAUAACAAAUAUAUAUAAUUGAGGGGUCUUCAUACAUAUUUACCUGUAAAAUUAAGUAAAUAAAUGGGUGGCAAUGGUUCGGCUUGGAUAGUAAUAGAUCCAUUAGAAAUUAUUUUUUUUUAAAAAAAAGUGGAUUAUAAAUUAAUAUUUUUAAUUUAAAAAUAUAAGUUUCAACUCUAUGGAUAAUUAAUAUUCUAACCAAUAAUCUCAAUCAAAUUAUGUACUUCCAUAACUACACUUUUUCCACUUAAAUGUGAAAAAUAUUUCAAAUGAAAAAGAAAAAUGAAUGCAUAGAUUGAUUUCCGUGCACAACAUUUAUGAUGUGAUCGUCCCGUACUUAAGAUUUUUCUAAAUGCCGGUCUCCGAGUCUUUAAAAUUAUUUUACUAUUGAAAAAAAUUAAAAAAAAUAUUUAUAUAGUUUGACCUCAAUUUAGAUAAGACAAAAAAAAAACAUAAAAAUAAUUUUUAUAUUAUAUCCACUAUUUUUAGCGUAAAUAAAUAUAAACUUAAUAAUUUAUGCUCAAAAUUUUAAAUUUUAAAUAAAAUAAAUAAAUAAAGCGUCUCAAAAAUAUAAUUUUUUUAUUAAAAUAAAGUGAGAGAAAAAAAGGUACAUGAACAAUGUCAGAAUAGUAUAAAAAAUAUUUUGGUCCACAAAUAGUCCUUUAUGAAUUAUUAAAUGUUAAUAUGAGGACAAACACGUAUUUAUAUGAAUCAAUUAAAUAAAUAAAUUCAAAUUGAAUUUUCUCUUUUUUUUUAUAAUUUGAAUUUAUAUUCAAUUAAAUAUUUGCAAUUGCAUACAUUAGAAGACAAAAGGUGUUGCGGAUCGGAUUGCUUCAAUAUCGAGUUUCUACUCGCCCUUUUAAACCCGACCCGUUAAGAAAAGGGUAACGAGUCACGCUCGAGCGCCUCGGAAUAGAUCGGAGUGAGUCGACGCGGCCAUGGGCGUCGUAGCAGCUCCCGCCCCCGCGCUCGCCCCUCCUCCUCCUCCGACGCCGCUCCCCGCGCCGCGUCCCAAACCCCUAACCCUAGGAACGACCGCCGCGAGGAGAUCCCUCCUCUCGUCGUCCUCGGCCCUCCUCCUCUCCUCCGUCCUCCUCGGCCCGUCCUCCGCGGCGGCGGCGGCGGCGGCGCCAUCUCCUCCUCCUCCUCCUCCGCCCCUAGGGGGCUUCGUUGAGAUCCCGGGAUCCGGCGGAGUGAAGGCCCUCGAGCUACGCGCUGGUUCGGGGCAAACCCCUGUCGAUGGGGAUCAGGUAGUGAGAAGCUAACUUGUUCGAUCUAAUCCGGCUCCUUUGCUUCUAUUGUUCAUCUCAUUUUCUUUUGAGAAAAAGUCGAAAUUUUUUACACAAAUUGUAGUAAUAACGCGUGCUAAAUCGGGAUUAAUGGGAGCGCACACUACACGAUGAUCUCUUUGUUGCAGUUCACUGCUCGAAAUUUGGUUUGGUUUGAAGUUUUAGGUUUUUUGUGCUUAAAUUUGUUGAUGAAUUACUAUAUGGUAGGCAUUUUGAGGCUAAGAAAUGUUGAGACAGUAGGAUUAUUCAGAAAUUUGCGGUCAAUUCAUUGCUACUCCUUUCCAAUUCAGAAAAUGAGAUGUAUAAACUGUACCCUUUGUAUAUGUUGUCAUUAUGUUCUUUAUGGAGAUUAAAGCGUUUUUUUCAAAAGAAAAAUGUGUUUUUUUUCCCUCUCUCAUUGAAGGUUGCAAUACAUUAUUAUGGGAGGCUGGCUGCGAAACAAGGAUGGCGCUUUGACUCGACUUACGAGCACAAGGACGCGAUGGGCGAACCCGUUCCCUUUGUGUUUGUUGUUGGAUCGGGAAAAGUAAGAUUAAAAGCCCCUACAAUUUUUCUUUCGGAAGUAAAAGGGUGCAUCUAGUGUGUAUGUAUUAGCAUGUCGAGAAUCUUUAGCACUACUAUAUCUAAAAUGUGUUUACUUGCAGGUUAUAUCAGGAAUUGAGGAAGCAGUGAAGUCCAUGAGAGUAGGAGGUGUCCGUCGCGUGAUUAUUCCACCAUCGCAAGGGUAUCAGAACACAUCGCAGGAGCCGAUACCACCAAAUGUAUGCACACACUACUCAGAAGGCCCUAAUAUAACCACGAUGUGAAGUUUAUUUAACGGAGAAAUGUGUGCAUAAUUUUCUCGUUAAAUGCUUAUAAUACUCUUAGCUCCUAGAGUAACUUUUCUGCUCUAAGAAGCAUAUCCAUGCAUCGGAAAAUGAACAGCAAAGAGCUCUUCCUAUGGCAGGAACUUUGAAGUGAGGCUCUAAACCUCAAAAUGAAUAGCUUCAAUUUGAAACUUCUAUUUAGUUGCAACGGAAGAUUCUUAGAGGACUUCAGGAAAAGGGCAUCAGUGCUUCUUCGAAAUUCUCUAUGUAAACAGCAUUUCUUCAAAAGUUCCAGCUGGUGCCAAUGAAGCCUUUGGUCCACAAGUUGCUUAUUUUUUAAAAAUAGGAGACAUUGCAACCAUCAAAUGUAUGAUCAUGGGUGAGUUAACAUGUCAAAUUAUUCAGGUUUUUUUUUUUGCACUUUUAUGUGCAGUUCUUUGAUCGGCAGAGGCUGUUUACCACUAUAUUCAACCCGACUCGCCUAGCGAAUGGAGAAGGUUCUACUCUUGGUACUCUCAUCUUUGACAUCGAACUUUUGAGUGUGAGAAGGCCAUGAUAAUUGCUGAAUGCUGAUGAAAGCUUGAUGAAGAAGCGGCUUCAUGUGCAUUUCCCGUCCUUUCAUUUUGAUGAAAUGUACAUGAGAUUUUACAUGAUUAGCCACUGAAAAGUGAACAGUGCAACUGUUGUGAAAAGUUAAAAAGCUGAACUGUUAGUUUUAUUCUUUUCUAUUUGUAAGGAUGUAAACAGCAAACUGUAAAUAGGAUACCAUUGAGUUUUACCCAAUCAUAUAAUUGUGUUCAGAUGAGAAUCAGAUCUUUUAACUGUGGUGGAUUAGCCAUCUGUGCAUGAGAGGACUGAAGUCACUGGACCUGAAUAUCUAUUUGCUGCAAAAUGUCAUAAACCUCUUCUCCAACUAAGAAGAGGAUAGACUGUUGCAUACACCUUGUGCAUAAUGUCUGUCGCGGACUGCCUUAUCUGACGUUGUCUAUCAUAUCUCAUAUUUCAAUUCUCAUUGCGCAAUGGAAUAAAUUUCACUGGAUAGGGUAUAGGCCACGAUUCAACAACAAAGGGCUAGUCUGGCCUAGCCAGAGCUUCUGCAAAAACAUUGUUUCACUAUAAAAAUAUAGAUUCUACUAUCUGAUUUAAGGGCCAUCUCCUUAUGCUUUUCUCUUAAAUUUAAGUUGGAGCAUCAGAACUUUAGAAAUUGAAUGCAAUAACAUCAUCAAAAUUCUUCAAAGAAUCUGAUCACAAAAUAUAGAGAAAACAACUGUCCUUCACUGGAUUAUACAGAACAAAAGUACUGUUAGAGAAAGCCAUGUAAAAGGAACCAGCAAACUCGCAGUCCCUACUUCGGCAGACACCAACAGAUAGGUGAACAAUAUGUAUACUCUCCAUAGCAAAUGGUAUGAUGAAGUUCUGAGGCAAAAGUCACUUCAAUGGUGUUCCAAUUCCUCAGACACAUACUUCUUGAUCAACAGCGAGAUUUAGAGCUUUGACAUUAUCUGCAACAGGCGAAUAGAAGCUCUUUUGCGGUCCAUGUCACUUCAGCGAGGUCUCGCAAUGAGGCGAUAGUCUCUUUAUCCAUCGGAAAAAGCUUAGGGAGGCACUCUGCUUUGGAAAAGCAAUUGAGGUUAGUAACAGAGUGAUUAAGGUGAAUACCAUAACUAGAAUACACUAUUCUUUUACCUGGGUGUCUCGCAAAGUUAAGCAGUGAUAGUGAAGCAAGCACCCUCUCUUCAAGUGCUCUAUCGUAGCUCAAGCACUCGAACAGUUGCGGGGCGAGAAUGGAGCACACUAAGGGUUGGAAAUUGUUACUACAACCAUUCAAUAAGGAGAGUGAGUUGCUCACCCACGCGACUGUAACAAGGCAUGAUCGCGCCAAAUUUGGAAUCCCCUCAGCUAUGCAAUUUGAUAGAGCAACCAACAGCCGCUUAUUGCCGCUAGUUAGCAAGAUGGUUGCUAAUUUCUUCAGCCACUCAUCUGUUACCUUUUCUUCUUCCUGGCGAUCGGCAUCGACAAUGUCACCCACAAAGAUCUUACACAAAGUAAUAUAUCAAACUAAACUUGCAAUCAAGAGAUUCAACAAAUGUUCCACACAUUUAAUUCACAGAGCAAAUUACUGGAGCAAAAACAAACAGGAAAUGCCCCAGGGCCAGGGGUGAGAAUUGAGAAUAGAAUUUGAGGAUUAAUAAUGUUCUAUAUACAGUAUCAGAGAAGGGCCCAUAAUUGUCAUUAAUUAGAAUUAGGAAAGAGACAAUGGAUUUAAAUGAAACAUGAACAAGCUAUACACUUGACAAAAAUUCUCGUGCCACCUUAAUUCUACAUUCUUUUCAGUCGGGAUGCAUUCAUGAAUGGCUAGUACCAACAAAAUAUGUAUAGUAGUUCUACGAUUAGAUGAACAAAUAUAAAAAAAAGUACUCAAGAGCCUUGCAGUGAUGCCAAUAUAUUGUAAUCAAUUUCACUUAAGCAAGCAGUGUUGUUUGCUAGCUAAUUAUAAUUGAGGAAUUAUGACAUCUAAUUUGUAAAACAUCUUUAGAAAAUAUAAGCAUACCAUUCUUGCAUUUUUAUCUCCAAGCAUCUCUUCUUUACUGAAGGAACCGUCGGAGCUAUCAUCUAAACCUGCUCUCCUAAGUAGCCAUGCCUCUGUCAUCGCCUUGCCCGAGCAAGAAAAGCGCAUUGCCAAGAGUGAAAGAGCUCUUGCACAUUGUUCUUGUAUUUUCUUGUUGAGUAAAUUUUGUUCCAGUGCCACAAUUAUAGCAUCAAUUCCUUCUUCUCGAUAAACACUGUACUGCAAAUGAUCUCCCUACAAAAAUAACUGCCUUAUAGUGAUUACAUGUAGAUCUAAAGCUGGUAGUUAAAGAAAUUUACAUGUAAUACAAAUAAAAGAAGGGGUUUUACAUAUUCCUCACAGAAAAUCAUCAAUUUGCCCUCCAAAAUCUUUAUAUAUGCACUUUAAAAGUGCAGUUUCAUACUCCAUCGAGUUCAUGCGGGGAGCUGGUUUCGUAUUAGAAAAGGAUUUCUGAAGAGAGGCAUUUGCCUAACUACGAGGGGAUAGGAAUUUGAAGCACAUAUAUAAAAGUCCAGAUUUUGCAGUGAUAUGAAUGUACAUAAUUUAUUUUGCCUGCUUAUAUAAAUAUGUAAAUAUCUCGAUGAAGAAAUGGUCUUCGAAAUAGCACCAGAAGAUCAAGCUGUAACAGAAUUGCUGCAGCCACUGGGCAUUGUGCGAUUGGAGCUUGCUGGAGAUAGACCAACAGGACAUGCAUUGUGUUCAGGCAACCAUUAUUCUUCAGCUCCUUUAAGAACUUGAUGAUCUGAGUUGGCCUGUUUGGCGAAAAAAUACAGAGAAUAAUUCAACAAUAGCUAAAGAACAUCUAAAGAUGGUGCUGGUAAAAAUUGUUCAUAUCAUUGACAAAACUCCUCUGAGAAACCAAAGUAUUAUUGUGGUAACCCUUCUAUCCGAGAAAAGAUUAAUUCCCAUUCAAUUGAACAUCAUGCCAAAUGAAUAUAACUCCAAUUUUACGGACAAUAGUGAGAUAAAUGAUGGCAAACUUAUAGUAAUUUUUGUUGGAUAAGUACUUCCUAACAGUCAAGACGUGCUGCACGCUGAUAAAACAACUUCCUUGACCUCUUGGUUAGUAAAAUUCUGCUGUCGAUAUUGUAAUUGUGUAAUGUGUUUAAAAACAGAAAGAUAGCAAUCAUAGAAACAUUCAUGAUUAGCUUCAUUUUACCUGUUAAGACAGACUAGCUCACUCAGCAAGGUAAGGGCGCUGCCACUGGACUUUAGUUGGUUACCCAUAAGAAGCUGAACAAUGGAUUCCUUCUUUAUAUUAUCAGCCAAGUAAUGCCGACACCUCCCUUCUGCUCGAAUGCAUGCAGCUAAGAGAGACCCACAGCUUCUUCUCUCACGAGCGUUGCCCAUUUCAAAUCUUUUCAUCAGUAGAUCCAACCCACCAAGAGCAACCGUUUGUUUCGCAUUCUCGACAUUUCUAUCCACGUUAAAACCCAUAAGAAGCUGAUCUAAGAAGUAGAAAGCUGCUGCUUUCGGACUGCAUUUUACAUUAAAUAAAGUCUGUAUCUGAUCCCCGCAGUCCAGGACACGCAACACCAGCGGUAUCCAGUCCAAGGAUAGCAUCUGUUUAGCCUUUGGCUUAAUCAGAUAGAGCACUGCUGCUGCUUUUAAGAACAACUUCUUGCUUCUGAAUAAUCGCAAGAAAACCUCAAGUUGUGGGUCUGCAUUCAGUACUACUUGUCUAUUUGCCUCAUUCUUUGAGACUAGCUCGGCCAGUGUAGAAAUUGCCAAUUCUAAUACCUGCUCAUCUUUAGAAGUGAAAGCCACCUCUAAAAGCCCUUCAAUUAAGCUAGACGAGAAUAGUGCUAUCUCUAUGGUAGAGUCUCCGCACGAGUCCAACCAUGCUUUGGCAAUAACACGCACAGCUGAUUCACAUUUUUUAAGAUCAUCUGAUUUUGAAAUCAAAGCAAUUGCUCUUUCUAGAGUUGUUAUUUGCUCAUUGUUUUCUGGUUCUCUGGCAACUUGAGUUGAUUCCUGCUUUGAAUUCGGUUGGCUAUGGAUUGUACCUACAUUUAAGUCACUGCGGCACGAUAAUAGUCGGAAUGAGUAGGACUUGCGGGGAGUUGGUGCCGCUUCGGGAGCUGGGUUCUCUUCUGAAUGUUUGAAUUCCCCUUCUUGAAGCCUCGUAUCACUCUGUCUACUCAGAAAACAAACAUGAUUUGAGAAAUUUCGAAGCAGCCGGUGAUUAAGAAAAGCCGAAAAUGUACUUUCAAUAAUCAAAAUACUUGAACUUAGUUGUCUACAAACAUAAAUAAGAAAUUGAAUUACAAAGCUGAAGCAGUAGUGUUAAGAAACUACUUCAAUUACAUGCAUAAAAGGAGGAUGAAAUCAAAUAAAAAUAAUAAUGCAACUAGUCUGUAUGCAGGAAUGCUGACGAAAGUGGGGACAUUGGGCCAGUUUUUGAACAAAUGUAACAGUAUAUAAUGGUUCAAUUGAGCCCACAAAAUUAUUACUAUUUAAGAUUCUGUGGGGUCAAACUGUUCUGUCCGCGACACUUCUAUUUUAUGCUCGCGAAUCAAUAAAGGGCAUUAAUUUGUCGGUUUACAGUCUCUUUUUUCUUUUUUUCAAUCAUGUAUACAAUCAAGUGAUUCUGCUACAAAUCUCAUUUAUCAUACUUUGUAUUACUAAAUUUCAAAAAAAUCCAAUAAAAAAGAGUAACAGUAAGUGCUUAAUUUAAUAAUGGCUCACAUGAACAAGGUUCCCAAGGCUGAAUCUGCUUUCUUUAGAACCCGAAUAUCUCUCACCCGCUACAUUAAUGUCAUCAAUCACCUCUUCGUCCCUGAUAUCUUCUUCGUGCUCCAGGCCAAAAACCACUCUAUACCUGCAUUUAUUCCAUUCAAAUCCCAGCAAUAAGAUCAAAAUCACAGCAAAAUCAUAGAAAAAUCUAAUUGAGGCAUAUGAUCAAACAAGUCGAAGGCAAAUUUCACUCACAAGUUUCUGCUAAUGGAGCCCCUCGACAACGAAGCUGAUCUCUUCCCCAAGGGCUCUGCAUAAACAGGCCUCAAGGGGAGCGGCACCGAAGGGAGAGGAGGAGCCCUAAAGGCUCCAACUUUAAGCCAUUCCUUGUAGUACAAAGCGAACUGAGCGGUGCCCACGUCCAUCUGAUCAUUAUAAGAGCUCUUCAAACCCUUGAUCCGCUGAUCUCCAUCCUCUGAACCCCAUCCCCGGAUGAUCUCCACUUCCUUAGUGUACCAAAUUUUGAGAUGAAGCAAGUGGGGGAGGAAGAAGUGGUCCCAUAGAUCGGGGAGCAGGGAGUUGCGCGCGAGGUAAGGCGCUUCAACGAACACCUUGAGGAGGUGGCGCGCCGAAACCCCAUCGUUGCGCUCGAUCUUGUAGAUAAUAGAGAGGUAGAGGUGGGCGCACGCGGCGAGGUGCGCGUUGGGGACGCCGCAGGUGCGCGCCCCGCGCUUCCCAGGCGCGGCGGCGAGCGAAGCGACGACGCCGAGCAGGCGCACCGAGUUGCGCAAAGAUCGGAUCUUCGCGUCCCCCGGAGCAACCGCGGCGGGGGCGGCGGCGGCGCGCGGCGGCCCGUCCCACUCAUCGGCGAGGCGCUCGACGCUGUCGACGGCGAGCUCGAGGUUGGCGAGCGCGGGGGAGGGGUCGGCGGAGGCGGGGCGGGUGGCGGCGGCGCACUUGGCGCGGAGGCCGCGGCGGAAAGACGGGUCUUUUAGGAACCGCCCGGCGUAGCCGGAGAGGAUGGCGGUGACGGCGCGCGCGGCCUCCGCGUCGAUAGGGCGGUCGUCGUCGUCGCCGGAGACGGGGAGCGACGCGGCGGCGGUGGCGCGCGGAGGCGCGGGGCGGUGGUUGAGGUCGGAGUGGGGAGGACGGGGUUUGGGUGUUGCGGAGUUGGGUCUACUACGGGGUUUUGGGGGGUGGGAGAGCUCUUGGGCUAGGAGGUCGCGGAGAGAGGAAGAGGACGACGCCAUUGGAGAGGGGUUUGGAGGUGGGCGAGAGAGGAGAGAGAUGGUAAUAAUUAUGCAUUUGGGAGGAGAGAGAGAGAAAAAGAGAGAGAGUGUGGGGACAAAACAAAAGAAACGGGGUGAUGAGGGAGACGAGAGAGAGAGAGAGAGGAGAGAAUAAGGAUACGAGUAAAGCCGCAGUUUUUUUUCUUUAUUAUUAUUCUUUUUGAUUUAAAAGGAAGCGACCGUUAGCGUUCGCAAAUUUGGCGGGAAGCUCCCGGGCACAUGGGAAGUUACGGGCGUUUGGCUUUCCCGUUAAUAAUAUCUCAAAGGGCUUCUUUUUUUUCUUUUUUUUUUUUACUUUUUUUUUUUUGCAUUUUCUCUCAGAUUUAUUUUUCACAAAUAAUCUCACAAAAUUUAUAUUUACAAGAUUUAGCCUAUCCCCGCCACGCGAGCGUCAUAUGAGCGUGAAUAGUGAUAUAGAUUAAGUUGAACACGAUGAAUCAUUUAUCAUAUUUGGACACACUGAAUGAUGCACCGUGUUCCAUUAUUUUAUUAUCAUGAUAUUAAAUAAUAUUUAGAAUUAGAGUUUAAGAAACACCCGGUGAACCAUUCGCUGUUUUUGGACACGGUGAAUGAUUUACUUUUUUCAACUUAACCUAGACUGCAACACACACAUGACGUUUGUAUAACAGAAAUAAGGUAAAUCUUACUUAAAAAUAUAAAUUUUAUGAAACUAUUUGUAAAAUUUUUUUAAGAGGACAACAUGCAAAAAAAAGUCCUAUCUCAAAAGAUAGUUUUAUUUCUUUACUUGGAAAAAUAUUUUUUAUAACAAAUAAUGUUUUUAUUUUUAAAUUUUUUAUUUGAAAAUAAAAAAAUAUUAAAAAAACGUGUUUUCUAUAAAAAUCUCUUUCUAGAAAACAAGUUCCGUGCUAAAACUCAAGUUUAAUUUAUUAUAAACUAUCUAUUUUUCAAACCGUGUUCAAUUAUUUUUGAAUCGACGACCUUCCAUUCUAUUCUAAUACUCUGUGAAAAAAAAAAUAUUUGUUUUAAAAAAAAAGAAAAAAAUUUAAACAAUUAUAAAAUAUUGUUUUAAGUGAUUUUGCAUGUGGGAGUGAGUGGGGAGCCCAUAUGGUGACAACCAACAAGUAGACACACCAUUGCCCAUGUUGUUCAAAUUAGAAUCUAAUGCUCUACUCAGUUGAGCUCCAUUUGAGUGUUGAUACAUAAGCCAAGAGGAGUGGGACAUCUUGGGUUCAUGCCCCAUUUUGAACUUCACUUUUUUCCUUUAUUUUUCAUUUACAUCAUCUUAAUUCGUAACGUUUUUUAGUUAACUUCAUUAGCUGUUUACCUAAGUAGUUGGCUAAAAACUUAAUGAUUAUAUUUAAGAUCCCAAAUUUAAAGUCCAAUUACUUUAUAUUUCUAGCUGAAUUUAUUUUUUUGAACUUUUUAAGCUGCUAACUAUUCUAAUAUCUAUGGCAAAAGAAUCAUUGCAGAGUUAAUAUAUUUGAGUAAAGGAAAAACUUCAAAUACUACGAUUGUAGUUUCGCACUUUUUUUUAUUUCAAUAACCUAUGGUUUAAAGUGUAUCAAUUUAGUACUCCGUGAUUUUUUUUUCUUUUUAUUAUCCCUACUAUUUUUUUUUUCAUUAAAUCAGUAACAAAGUUAAAGCUAAAAGAUACUAAAGUGAGUAUUCAAUAAAUCUAGAUGGGUAUCUUAAGUUUUUGUAUAUAAUAAUUUAACGAAAUAUUAACGGAGGAGCUGACGAAAAAAGAAAAAUAAAACUAUAGGAUACUAAAGAAAAAUAAAACUACAGGUGGGUAUCUUCAGUUUUUUUCUUUCUUUUUAUUUUUAUAGAAGUGGUAUUUAAAGUUUACCUUUGAUUAAAACCACCUAAUUCAAAAUGGCCAAUAGAUGAAUGCCUCACCUCUCUAGCCUAAUUCACUUAUUUAAUGAAUGAAACAGAUAACGUGCUACCGAUUCUCAAAAAAAAAAAAAAAAAAAAAAAAAAAUCACAUGAUACUAAAUUGAUACAGUUUAAACCAUAUGAUACUAAAGUGAAAAAAUACAAAACUAUAGAAGUGAUAUUUAAAGUUUAACUUUGAUUAAAACUACAUAAUUCAAAAUGGCCAAUAGAUGAAGGGGUUCCGGAUUUCCAUACAAUUUGACCUAUGCUACUACAUGCUAUAUACACGCAAAUGGUAUGUGUUUUCUCUUUUUGGUGUGAUUACCUGAGUUGGUAUCUCUUAAUCAAUUGUCUUUUAUAUUAACUUUAACUAUAUGGCAUUCAUUCUUAUAUAAGAAUAUAUAGAUGCAUGGGCUCUGUUGAGGGUGUCGGAAAGGGUUUGUUUUCUAGUUGAAGUGAUAGUCGGACCCGUGACUCCUCUUUAUUUGGUUUCAACUCUUCGCUUGAUGUUCAAUAAUUGAUCCAAAUAACCUGAGAAUAAAUAGUCAAAAAAGUGGGGCUUGUUGUAAACACUAAACACUAAAAAUCCAAAGAUGUAUAGGUACCCAAACCUCUAUUUGAGAUGGUUAGUCACUUCUAGUUUGCUCACCCAAAGGAAAACUGAGAAACAGAUUGUUCCUACAGUAGAAGCUGCAGCUUCCUAUUUGAGUAGAACCUCAUUUAAACACUCUGCUAUAGCUAUAACUUUGAAUAUUUUAUUUACUAAAAUAGAAAAGCUGCUCGAAAAGACCUGAAUAGAAAUUGAAUCCCCUGAAUAUAAACUUUGGCGAUUGCCGAGAAGUCGGCUCGCAGUAUAAGUCGUGUCAAGAAAAGUAUAGUGUGAAAAUUUUAUUGCUUUAUUUGAGGCAUUUAUAUAUCUUGUGCAUUGCGGUAGAGAUGGAAAUUUAAAAUACGGCCAGAGGAUUGAAAAGGUGUUAUGCACAGGAUGUACAGAUGAACGAAGAUAGGCAAUGAUUUUGUAAUGAGAACGAAGGAUGUUUUUCAAAAACUUGUUUACGCAAUGUUAUGGGAUGAGAGUAGUUAAUCCUGCUAUCCUACCACUAUUUUGCGAAACACUCUUCAGCAUUUUGAGGAAAUCAAACAAUUUUAGAGAAUUGUCAUUAGCAGCUCCAACGACUAGGAUAGUAAUUUCAGAGACCGAGUGUAGUCCUGACAAACAGGUGAGUUGGAUAACCCACGGACAGGUUAUUGUACCCACAGGUUACUUGGGCAUGGAUAAAAUUUAUCCGCAAAUUUUUGUAUAGCCAUAUCCGUCCGCGGGUGGGCAGGUGGAUAUGCGGGUUACCCACAAAUUUAGUUUCUUUUUUGCUCUUAUAUUUUUUAAAUGCACAAUAUAUAUAUAUAUAUAUAUAUAUAUAUAUAUAUAUAUAUAUAUAUAUUUUAAAAGUAUAACAUAACUCAUUAUUUAAAAUAUCAUAAUAUAUAAUAAAAAUAUUUAAAUUCUUAAAUCAAAAAAAUUUCAUAAUAUAAAAGAUACGCGAUAAGAAAUUAGGGUUAGGAUUUUUAGGAUGAAUAAAUAAAAAUAUAUUUAUAUAUUUUAAUUAAGAAAAAUAUAUUGUGUAAUUAAAAAAUAUAUAUGCGGGUAUUCGUGGGUACUUGCGAGUUACCCAAAAUGCCCACAACUUAAUAGGUAUCCACCUAUUUUACUCGUAAUUUUUGGAUUGAAAAAUCUGGUAUCCAUACCUAUAAAUUUACAGAUAACUCGCGAGCAUAUGUAGGUAUGGAUUGAUAUUGCCAGGUCUAACCAGAUGGAACUGCUUUAUUAUAAUCAAAUACAACUUUAAGACUUUCUCUUGAAUUUGAAGAGGGCCUUAUGGGCCGACGCAAGGUCCAAAACUCAGAUCAUAGCCCAAACAAAGUUUAUGCAUCGCAAGCCCAAUCGAUCGUCGACCUUGGCAAUUCGGGUUUGGUCCCAGCCCAGUUCCUGCUGCAAAUGGCUCUGCAACUUAUUUCUCUCCUACAAGCUGGUUGGAUUGCUAGUUCAAGAAUUGGCUCCCAGCAUUGUCGAUUGGAUUGAAUAAGAUAAGAUGAAAGAGUAGUUCUUAAAACGAAAAAAAGAAAAAGAAGCUUUAGCAUUCCAGAUACGAAUAGUAGAGCAGGUUGAAUGCAUUAAAAUUUUUCCAAAUUAAAUUCUUUUAAUCCUGUGUUUUUUUGAGAGAAAGGUAGCACGCUAUCCGAUUCAUUCAGUAAGAACGUGAAUUAAGCUAUAUGGGUGAGGCGGGGGGUGCUCAGCUACAGUUGAGUCAGUCUAGUGAAAGUUUCAUCCACAGGUUCGUCAACUGAUUGAUCUUUUAAUCCUGUGUUAACGAGAUUGUUUGAUCUGAUCAGAUUUUUUUUUCCACGUCUCCUGAGAUUUCUGAUGCUUCUAGUCAGUUCAAAAGAAAGAAAUGAUACCUUUCGUUGGUGGACGAGAAUCCCUUUUUUUUUUUUAUCAUCAAUCAACUGUUCUACGAAAUCUAUUGCGUUGCAUCGAAUAAUUUUUUGAAAUAAAAAAAAAUAUUUGGACCGGAACUGUUUAGACCGAGUGAUCCGGUCCAAUUCCCCGAUCGUUGUGAGCUCAUCACAAUCGUCACUCCUCGGAGUCAAAGAAACCCACAAUGUUGUCUUUUCUUUUUUCCCAAGUUCAAAUCUUAAGCCGAAUUAUACAAAAAAAAAUAAAAAAUAAAAUUAAACCUCUUAAUCCGAAUAUAAUAUUUUAAAUAAUAACUAGAUUUAAAAAAUUAAAAGAAUUAAGCGUGCUAAAACUAUAAUAAUUUUAGGAUGCCGGUGACCCUUGAAAAGUGGGUGUCUCAAUACUGAUUCUCAAACUAUAAAAUAAGUAAAAUUUUGGCACUCAAAUUUUAAUGUAGCAAUUUUAUUAUUAGUGAUACACUAACAAAGCGGCAAUAUAUAGUCAAUUAAAUUAGCAUACACCAGCGAAUCAUCAAAUAUAUAGUUAAUUAAAUUAAUAUAUAGUCAAUUAAAUGAUCAAUUAAAUGAAUAUAUAGUCAAUUAAAUUGGUAUACGCUAGCUAGCGAAGAGUCAAUAUAUAAUUAAUUAAAUUAAGGUGUGAGACUCAACAGUAAUAGUUCUAAAAAUUCAAAUAAAAAACUAUGACAAAUAAAAGUUUGCGAACUAAAAUUUCGCUAAAUAAUUAAAGAAUACUUUUUUUGUAUUUAGCUCUAACAAAUUUAUAUUUGCAUAAAUAGUUCUUUUCUUGCCACAUGAUUAUCUAGAUAGUAUUUUUAAAUUGAACAUAGUGAUUAAAUCACCGUAUGUUUUUUGUAUUUUUGUUGUCCCAAAGUUAAAAUUGCCGAUACGGCAAUCGCGUGAUAAGAAGAGAACUAUAUAUCUGUAAAUAUAAAUUUACUAGAAUUAUUUAUAAUUUUUCUUUUUUUAGGGGCUUAAAUAUAAAAAAGUCAUAUAAUGAAAAACAUAGAGCAAUAUUGUGGGGGAGUUAUUGUACCAAACUUCGCGGAGCUUCGGUCCCAAUUACCAGUUUACGCCGACACUCUCAUCGUCGCCAUUGUUCUACGACUAAUUCCGACACUUUGGACGAGCCCUUUGCGUUGUUUAAUCUACCAUUAAUGCGGCGGCGUGUAGUGUUUGCGAGCUCGUAAGGGGGCGCUAACGCGAAGGGGACGAGGAGGAGGAAGAGGAAAUGGCGAGGACGAAGGAGGAGUUCCUGAAGCAGUUCGGCGAGGGCUACGGGUACCCUGAUGCUCCCCGCAACAUCGACGCGAUGCGAGCCCUCGAUUUCAAGCGAUUGGAAGGUUCCCCAAAUCACUCUUCUCCCUUCAAAAUUCGAUCUUCUUCUUCUUUUUGUUUUUUUGGAUUUUUUCGGAGUCGCUUAACUGGGUGUGUGUUUGGGUGGGGUUUUAGGGUUGGUUUACUUGGACCACGCCGGAGCCACGCUCUACUCGGAGGCGCAGAUGGGGGAUGUUGCUAAGGAGCUCGCCAACAGUGUCUAUGGGAACCCUCGUAUCCUCAGAUUGGGUUAAUUUUUGUGGUUUUUUUUUUUUUUUUUUUUUUUUUNUUGUUUGGGGGUUGGAGAUAAAAAUACUGGUUUGAGUUGAAUUACUGGGUUUAUGUUGAAAAAUUGGUGCUUGGAGUAGUAUUUUUAGCGCAUAACAUCCGAAAAGGACCUUUUUUUGUGAAAUUGGAGUAAUAUACCUUUUACUAGGAUUGUUUUUAUUCAAUUUAAUUGGUAAAUUUAGUGGCUUUAAUCACUUUUCGGCAAAUGAAACAAGAAGGGUUUAGAGCUAAUAGCGCCCUUAAAUAUAUAUACUAAAAAAAAAUCUCACCUUUACUAACUAUAAUUACGUGAAUCCAAUAACUUAAAGAGUGAUGGGGUCCCAAUAAAAAUAAAUAAAUAAAUAAAGAUGAGAAUCUAUUUCAAAAUGGCUUGAAAUUGAGUUGGCUUCAGUGCAUGUUUAUCUAAUUUUGGAUUGCUUGGAAACCGAAACUAUGCCAAGUCAAUUUAAUCCUUAUCUGAAUCAUUUUAAAUUGCUGAGCCAUUUAUUAUUAUUAUUUUUAAUUCCUUUUAGUGUAUUCAAGUAGAUAUUGAAUGAACUAUAUUGUGGAGGUUAUUCAUGGUCAUUUUCAGUUAGCUCUGUUAUUGUUUUCCUCUUCUCACAUAAAUCAUGGCGUGUUGGGUUCUUGACAUGAUGAUUUAGAUAGUCAAAGUGAUUCGAGUAUGGCCACCAGUGACGUAGUUGCCGCAGCACGCCUGCAGGUCCUUAACUAUUUAAAUGCAAGUCCAAGAAACUACAAAUGCAUAUUUACUUCUGGGGCAACGGCAGCUUUGAAACUCGUCGGCGAGUGUUUUCCUUGGAGCAGGGAAAGCUGUUACAUGUACACGAUGGAAAACCAUAACAGUGUGCUUGGGAUUAGAGAGUAUCCUUCCUGCAUUGAGAACUAUCUAUUGGAUUCUGGCUUGCUUUACCAAAUAUUUAUGUGUUUACAUUUAGACAUUCUUUCGCAGAAGCCAUCAUCUUAGGAGAUAGUAUGAAAAGUUCUUGCGUAGGUCUCUUUGCAUUUGUAGGUACUUGGAGUUUUUGUAUUGUUUAUCCUUAUGCAUUGGCAGAUAUGCUCUUAAUAAGGGAGCAACUGCUCUUGCUGUUGAUAUCGAAGAGGUUGAGCCUCAUGAUCUACGUGACGAAACUCAUGAAUCUUCUAUUAGGAUCUUGAAACACGCAGUGCAGAGGAGAGUUGAAGAUUUAGUACCACAAAAUUUGCAGAAUGGCAAGCUUUCUGGUAAAAUAUUUUUUUCAUAGGGUCUUUUAUGCAGUUCCUUCGAUGUACUUUAACAAGAUCAUACUUGAUAUAUUUUUUGAAAAAUCUUAAUAAAUAAUGAUGUUAUUGAGAGGUUGUGCUUAUUAUCACUGUUUCUUUUCUUCCGGUUGCAGGAAAUGUAUACAAUUUGUUUGCAUUCCCAUCAGAGUGCAAUUUCUCAGGUCAGAAGUUUCCUCUUGAUUUGGUUAAGGUCAUCAAAGAAGAUGGUGGGAAAAUUUUAGGAGUCCCAUCACACCAACGGUAUGAUAUAGUCAAUUAAAUAGACAUGAAAAUAGAACAGAAGGGAUGGGAUAAACUAAUUAGUGGCUUUUACAACCUUUAAGAAUAAUUUUUCAGUAUAUGCAUAGCACUAAAAUGCAAUGACUACUAUUUAUUGCACAUAGUAUCUAUUUGAUUGAAAUAUCCAACUAAUACCAAAGUUGGAUAUUAUCCUAAUCAAGGAUUUCAUGAUAAUAGAUAAAAUUACGGCAUUGACAAGUUCAAAAUGCUUAAACUCUUAGUUGUUCCCUUUACAAGCAGCUCUCUUUUUUCUUUUUUUUUUUUAAAUUUAAUAUGAUAUUUUAUGCAGGAAUUGCUGGAUGGUGCUAAUAGAUGCUGCAAAAGGAUGUUCAACUGAACCACCAGAUCUAGCUAGGUAUCCGGCCGAUUUUGUCGUCUUUUCUUUUUAUAAGGUAUAUGCUGUGUGCACUUUGACCAUUCCGGUAUUAUGCAAAACUUUUUAUUAGGGAUAUUAUUAACUGCAAACAUGCUGUCUUUGUCAGAUAUUCGGUUAUCCAACUGGUCUAGGAGCGCUUGUCGUUCGAAAUGGUUUGUGAUUUCUUAUCUUGACAUUGGUUUAUAUCAAAUGGUUGUUUUUACCACUUCUGUUUAGUUUGGCCUAUAAAGUACUUCUUUGCUCUAUAUCUUGAAUAUAAAGGUACUUUGUCACCUGUUAUUCAUCAUUGUCACCUUUUCAUUUUGAUCUUUUUUUAGCCGGACACACUAUGAUUCUAGUUUCCUUUAUUUAUUUCUUUCAAAUUCUUGUAUUUUCCUGUUUUCGAGUUUUAACGACCUUAUAUAUUCUUGUUAUGUUAAGCAGUGUGGCAUCUUUAUUCUAUUCAAGAGGGAAAUUAGCACUUCAUAUUAACCCAAUUUUCUUGUUUUGUGGGCAAAACGUUUGUUUGUUUGUUUUUUUUUAUUUUGAAGUUUUAGCAAAGGUUGUUUAGCUAUCUGCUUGCUAUAGAGUGGAAUGUAUUAUCUUGUUCUCUUUUUAAUAUAUUAUUGUUCUUUGACAGAGGCAGCCAGGUUGUUAACAAAAACAUACUUUGGUGGAGGUCAGUAGUGUACCAGCUUUGCUAUGUUUUUCUUAUUCAUCUCAAACUAUUUGGUUUAAUAUGUCUACAUAAUUUAGGCACAGUAUCUGCUUCAAUUGCUGAUAUUGACUUUGUCCGAAGAAGAGAGAGCAUUGAGCAAGUGCUUGAAGAUGGAACUCUGUCAUUCUUGGCCAUAGCUUCUAUUCGUCAUGGCUUCAAGAUAGUUGAUUCAUUGACUAAAUCUGCUAUUGUCAGGUGUGUUAACACUGUUGUAGUAUUGUGAAGUUAUAAACACUUCUUGGAAAUCUAGCAAGUACACUCUUCUCUUCUAAAAUGUUCUUGAUAUUUUGUAGAUAUUUUUCUACUUUUAACAUGAUAUAAUUAUUUGUAUACCCUUGAAAACCAUCUAUUAAGAUGUUCUUUUUUUGGGGCAAAAUCUGAAUUUUCACAUAUGCCUUUAAAAAAAUUGAUCUCUUACAUUUAUACCCAUGUUACCAUGUAUGUAUGAAGGUACUCCUUUUUGAAAACCUAUUUCUAAUUUAAAAACCAACUUCAUCCAUGCAUUGGAUGAUCCACUUAACAUAUGAAAGUUUCGUAAGAAACUGCAUUUUAAGAGUAUGAUCAAAAUUCAGGUUUCGUGAGGGUAAAGACACAUGAAUUUUGCUUAUCUUUUAACUGUUCUAUUUUGUGUGCCAAAUUACACCAUUCUGCUUCACUUGUGGGAAGUGGAUUUGGACGAGCUUUAAAUGAUCAUAUUUUACCCUUAUAGACAUACAAAGUCUCUUGCCGCUUACGCAAGGAACAUGAUGGUGGGCUUAAAGCAUGGUAAUGGAUCGAAUGUUUGCACAAUCUAUGGAAGAGAAACUUCAAAGGUUAGUAUUUUUAACAGAGCUGUUCACUUUGUGAAAUGAUCAUCACAGUGCAUCCAUGGACUUGCUUCGUUUUAUCUCAAGAUCUUAUAAGGAUAACUGAUAUGUUUCUUCACUUAUCUUAGGUAUUAUCUUCAACAUAUGGUCCCACAAUUUCAUUCAAUUUGAAAAGGGAAGAUGGCUCCUGGUUUGGAUACCGUGAAGUGGAAAAGUUGGCUUCAUUAUCAGGCAUUCAUUUGCGUGUAAGUAAAAACAAUCUAGUAUACACUUGGGUACAUCAAAAAAUCAGGUAAACUUUUUGUGCGACUAAUGUCUUUUUAUAAUGGUUUCAUUGUAGACAGGCUGCUUCUGCAACCCUGGUGCAUGUGGCAAAUAUCUUGGUUUGUCUCAUUCAGAUUUGAUUUCCAACUUUGAGGUAAAUCACAUUCUUAUUAUAUGUCAAACCCUCCUGAUAUGGCAAUUUACUAGUAGUUGUUGUAUAAGCGAGCCUAUUUUGGUAAUGAAAUGACAAAUUUAAUUUUGUUAUACUACAUGGUUCUCGUUUUCUUUAUGUCAGGCUGGGCAUGUUUGCUGGGAUGAUAAUGACAUAUUAAACGGAAAACCAACUGGUGCUGUUAGGAUAUCUUUUGGUUAUAUGUCAACAUAUGAAGACGCUGAGGUAUUUACUACAUUAUUUCUUGUUGCAUAACUCAUAUAUGCUGUUUCUCUCUAAUUUUCGGUUAAAUCUUCUGUAAAAUAAUCCUAGGAGCAACAUGACCAAAAUUCUUGUAUAUUACAAUUGUUGCAUUAAGUUAUAUAGAAAAGUGAAUAUAUGUGUAUAUAGCUACUUUGUUUAUACGUAAUACUAAUGUAUGUAGUUUUUUAGAACUUCUUUCAAUUUAAUUCUUCUUUUAAAUAUGGUUUGAUGUAACAUCUGUUACCAUUUCCUCUUGCAGAAAUUUUUGAAUUUUUUGGAAACUUCUUUUGUAUCCAAGCCCAAAGACGGAUAUCAAUCAAGUUUGAAGGCACUUCAUUCAUUAAGUAAUUAUAUUGCCUUUCAGUUUGCUCUUACAUUGUUUUUUCAGUUUUUCCUGAAGAUAUCAUUUGCUGCUUAGUAUUAAGGAUAUAAGGAACAAGACUUCGUAUUUUACAGAGAUCAUCUCUUGCUAUUUAUGGACUUCUAUCUCAACAAGCAACAAAUUGGUGUUCGAGUAUUUUCAUUUACACAUAAAAUUAAUUUUGUCUAUCUAUGAUUAUGAAUAACAGGUAUUGCAAAUCAGCAGGAAGUAAGACCCGUUCAACUAAAAUCCAUCACAGUUUACCCUGUGAAGUCUUUACAAGGAUUCAGUGUGCAUAGCUGGCCUCUCAGUAAUAUUGGUAUGCGAUUCUCUUCUUGGAGUGAUACUGUAAAGAUGAUUAUUUCUAUUUACUUGCGUAUAAUCAUUGGCAGAAAGAGAAAACCCCUAUAAAAAUAUUAGGACUUGAUUGCCCUCUGAAAAUAGAAAUCUUCAUUCAAGCCCCUAAAUAAUUGGGCCAAUUUUCUCUUUCCACACUAUUGGAGAUUACUUACCCACUUGGGAGUAGACCAAGACGUCAUCUUGAGUUUAUAUAUAUAUAUAUAUAUAUAGAGAGAGAGAGAGAGAGAGAGAGAGAGAGAGAGAGAUAUAUAUAUAUAUAUAUAGAGAGAGAGAGAGAGAGAGAGAGUUGAGCUGGAAUAAUUGAAGAUAGUUUUCAUUGAUUCUGUCUAUUGCUGAACAGGUUUAAAAUAUGAUCGAGAAUGGCUUCUUCGAGGUCUGAGUGGUGAAAUUUUGACUCAGAAAAAGGUAUGUAUAAGCAGAUAUGUGGAGUGCUAUCUGUGAUUAUUUCGUGUCCAUAUAUAAUUGUACAGCUUAUCUACAUAGCUUUAUUCAAUAUUUGGUAUAUGAACAUGUAUUUCAGAUAAAGUUUAAUUUUUAAUUCUCAGGUUCCAGAAAUGUGCUCCAUUCGUACAUUUAUCGACUUGGAACUUCAGGCAAUGUACAUAGAAUCUCCACAUUGCAAAGAGAAACUACUAAUUUCUCUACCAAAACAUUCGCGAAGCUUAAAUGAAGAAAUGGAUGUCUAUGGUCAAAGGUGCGCAUUCUCACGUUUAGUGUCUUGUUUGCAAAGCGCGUAGUGUUGUGUGUACCUAAGAAUGCAUCAUGUACUCCAAAAUAAUGUUGAAGAGUUAGCUUUCUUCUAUCAUGUUUCAUCUUGGAUAUUUUAAAAGCUAAAUCGAUUAUUAGUUGCCGUGCAUAUAAAGUUGAUUACUCAUUGGGGUCCAUUUCUGAGGUAUAAACAACAUUGCUCAUCUUAAAGCUGCCAAAGGAGGACAAAUAGAAGUUGAAGUUUCGAUUGUUUAUAUGAUAACUCAUUCUAAUAAUAGGCUUGAUGCUUGUUUUCAUUGAACUAGAUAUGAGGUGCAGACUUAUGAUGAUGAGGUUAAUAUGUGGUUCACUAAAGCCCUUGGUCGUCCUUGUACCUUUGUGAGAUGUUCAAAUUCCAAGAACCGCUCUUUCAUGAACAAGAUUGGAAGAGAAGGUCUAUGCAGAUAUACAUCGAGCAAACUGAAUUUCUCUAAUGAGGGACAGUUAUUACUAAUAUCUGAAGAGAGCCUUUUUGAUCUGAACAGCCGCUUAAAUGCAAGUAUGUUGCUUUCUUUUUAUUAUAUCAUUUCUGCUAAGAUGUAUAAGAAGUCCUUGCAUUAUUCUUUUUUUUUUUUUUUUUUGAGAGAUAGGUAGCACGCUACCCGCUUCGUUUAUUUUAUUUAGAAAUAAAUUUAGCUGGAAAUGUGAAUCAACUAGGAUUCGAACUUGGGACCUCGGAUACCAACCACCAAGCCCUUUGCUACUUGCUAUAGGGACGGUCGGUAGUCCUUGCAUUAUUUUGAUAUGAAACUUGAUCUGCUGUACCUUGUACUUAAACAUUUCAGUCCAUAAACUUUUGUUAUCCAUCCCCGAUCUCCCCAGCUCCACCCUGAAAAAAAAAACUCCUGUAAAAUGACCAGUUUACAGUUCUAUGAAAUGACUUCCAUAUCAGUUUACUUGAAAUAGGGUUAGAAAGGUCAUGCUACUGCGAAGGUCUACUGGUCUGCGAAGGUCUACUGGUCUGUUUUGGAGUGACAAUAUUUCUUUAAGUGAAAAGUUCAGAGACCAAGUCGCAAAAUCAGCACGAUGUAAGGACUGUCUAAGUAUUUUACUGUAACAAUUCUAGUUUCAACUUGAAAGUUAUGAGUUUUACUGUUCAUUUUAAGACCUUGGCAUUGCUUUCUGCGUGUUGGCGUGCAAUUUACAGGAUAUGAUUAAUUUGGCAAUCUGUUCACUAAUUGCUAUUCCAUUUUCUUUGUUGAGUUAAUUUAUUCAUGGGAAAAUUAAAGGACAUAUAUAUUUUCUUCGUAGCAGAUUUUGGAAAAGAUAUCUCUGGGUCUAGGCAGCCAGUACACGUUGAUGCUGCGAGAUUUCGCCCAAAUCUCGUAAUUUCAUGUUCAGAACCUUAUGUUGAGGAUAGCUGGAGCAGCCUUCAAAUCGGAAAAGCACAUUUUAGUGUGAGUUCAUUGAAUAUUCUGUUGAACUUACUUUUCUGAUUUCUUUCUUUGCUUUAAUCGAAUUUACUUGGUGAGGGAUGUGAGCUUGCACUUUUCCUUUUGUUUUCUUUCUUUUCAUUUUUCUAACACAUGAAUCAUUUGAUAUAUUCGCAGUCACUGGGAGGAUGUAACCGCUGUGAGAUGAUUAAUAUCGAUCAGCAAUUUGGGCGAGUUCGGAAAACGAAGGAGCCUCUAGCAACUUUAGCAUCCUAUAGACGAAAACAGGCACUAAAACUUUGUCACAAAAUCAGCAUAACAUCGUGUCAAAUUUUUUUUUCCCCCUUUCUUUUGGCUUCUCAAUUGAAAUUGAUUUGUUUUCAUGGAAACAGGGAAAGAUUCUAUUCGGUAUCUUGUUAAGAUAUGAAGAUAGUGUCAAGGAAGGAGAAGAUGAAAUUGUUGAAGAAAAGUGGCUUCAAGUUGGACAAGGCGUUUAUCCGUCUGUUGAUUAAACUGAAAUCGGCUUCAGAGAUCUAAUGCUAAAGUAAGUACAUUUCUUGGAAAGAUAUAGUACUAAGUGAUUAUACAGUUAGCAAAUAAUCAAAGGAGAAAAGGAAUAAAAAAGCAGCUCUGUAUAUGUAUGAGAAGCGGCUCUGUAUAUGUAUGAGAACAAAAAAAAAGAAGUAAUAAAAAGAAGAGAAAAAGCAUGGGGAAUGCUCCCAUUAUGAAAUUGUAUCGUAAUCACGUGUCUUCAUUUUCCUUUUUUUAAGAAAUAUAUAAGUUAUUGCUGAGGAUUCUCUACAUUAAUUCGUGCUGUGCUAUUUAUUACUGCACGAGUUGUGUGUCAAAUUCAAUAGAAAACAGCUGUUCCUUCAUAGUUGGUAGGCAUCGGAGGCAGAGGAAUAUUGUGUAUUAUUCCUGCUAUGAUUAGAAAACAAAAUCACGCAUCAAGGCCUAGUGUUUAUGAGAGACAAAUUAUAAGAAUAGAUGGAGCCCUUCACACGCACAUUAAUUUUUAUGUACUCUUAGAACUAGUGCUUCCUUUAACAAUCUUUCAGAAUGUAGUUGCACUGCUAUUUGGUUCCCUAAACCAAAAGAUGGCUGAGUCGUAAUCCAACCAUAAAUCAAGUUUAUCAAGAGUAACAACUAAUUGUGUUAUCCGCUAUGAAGACGCCGAGAAAAUUUGGUAUGCUAUCAUGUAACUUAAACUCUCGAAAACAAAUUUUCUUUAAAAUGGUUUGAAACUCAUCUUUCAAAAAAUUUAGCCUAUUUCUACUCUUACCAAAUUUGAUUUUCAACCAAGCUACAUUUACCUGAAUCAAAUGCCCUCUUAAAGAGAGAGCAAGAAAGGAGAGCAGCUCUCCAUGCUUCUCUACCAAAAACAAAAAGAGAGGAAAAAAGAUGUAGAGACGUAAAACCUUUUAUGAUGAAAUAGUUCAGAACUGAAAGUUCCUCUGCUUGAUGGAAGAGGAAGCAGUCACAAGUCACAAGUCACAAGUCACAACAACAGUGAGCCGAAGCUUCGACAGAAUGGCUACAGGUUACAAGGUAAAUUCGAAGGGAAUUUAAUGGAUUUAUCACUUUAUGUAUAGAAUUCAUGGCAGGUAAUUUCCUCAGCAGAUCAAAUUCUCUUGAUCUGUUACUGCGAAGCUGGUGAACCGCACUCUUCGUUUACUUCCUCGAGCUCAAUUAGUCUUCCUCCCAGUUGCUUCCUGCAAACAAUAAUAUUUAGUAAGCAAACAAGAGAUUACAUACACUCUCCGCCUACUAUCCAUUUGCGUUCUCGAUACAUCUCCUUCCGAAACUCUUAAAUUUGUAGAAAGAUAGUCUCGGGAUGUAUAUAUAUGAAAAUUCAGACUUUACUGGGGUGUACAUUUAGAUAGAUGAUUUCGCAGGAAAAAUUAGACUAUUAAAGAUAAGUUUGACAACUAUUUGUUUCAAAUAAUGUGAGAAACUGAAAAUAAGAUUAGAGACAGUAAAUAUAGACCUUUGAGGGAAUAAUUUCUCAUCUGACAAAGCCUUCUCUAGCCUUUCUUCAAAAGGGGUAGCAUGCCAACUAACCUUCUGAUCCUGAACAAAAAAAAGGAAAAGAUAGAAAGAAGGAAAUGAAUGGAAUAUAAGAAUGGUCACUCCAGCACAAUAAAUCAAGAGGAGCGGAACACGUAAUUCUAUACCUCCUUGUAUUUGGUCGUCGAAUUUGGAAUUCCAUUUCGAUCCCAACAUUUGGGCGAUUCACGAGUACACCCAUCGUCCCUCCAGUUUUCAUCGAAAAUCCCAAUAAUAGGUCUAUCCACAUCAUAGCUCUCUUUAAUGUCCAUAAUAUCCUCUUUCUCAUCCUUCAGAGUCGUCGGCUUCAGCCAUUGAGAAAAGCUCGGAACAAGAAGGUUUGGAGCGUCUAUAACUUCAUCUUUGCUGUGCGAAAUUUGCUGUGCACGAUUAUUACUAUUGGCAUAGAGAGGCUCCUCAUUAUUAUUGGCAUUCUCCUUGCCUAGGUUUUCCUUGUUAUUUGGAGUUGCAAACACUGACCUUCUUGUCUUAGAAACCUCUGAAUCUUUAGACACAGGAGAGAUUGCAUUUGGUACUAGCUUCUUUGUACAAGAUGAGUUUUCGCUUAGUGAUUUCCGGUGUGGUAAAUUGUCUAUAGGUUUCAGGACAGGAUAAGCAUACUGAGUGCGGAUCCUAGCACGCUUCCCGGUCCUAGUGUUUUCGAUGCGGGACGGGUGAAUUGUUGCGGGAGUUUGCAUUUCAUCGGUCAAAAUCAGAGGAGUUGGAUAAGGAGAAUCACUAGCAUAGGGUUGCUGAAUUUUGAUGUCAUUCGGAGAGGGGGAUUUGUCAAAAUUAUCACUUUUAAACCGUAAUUCAAUUUCAUUCAUACCAGCCCUUGGAAUCUGGUUUUUAUCAGACACGGAUCUGCAUUAAACGAAACAAAAAAAAAAAUAAAAUAAAAUUUAUGGUUCCACUAAAACAAAGUUCUUUUUUACAAAAAAAGAGGGGAUGAGAAAUUUUACCCUUCCAAUAACAUUUCUGGAGAACUCGAGUUUUCUUCUAGCUGUGGUGGAACAUCAGACACUUCAUUACACUGUACAUCCAGCUGAAGUUCCUUAUAAGAUGAUUUUUGAUGGAAUGAGAAGGAUUCCGGAGACGAGUCAUCCUCAUUAGAAUUUCUAACGACUGUUUUGCUCAAAGUUUUCCGUAUUUCCGCAGGAGUUUCCGAUAUUGCACCACAAGAUUUGAGGUACUUGGCCUGGUUAACAUAGAUCAACUAUUUGUUAACAAGUGUAAAUUGACAUGCAUAGAUAAGAAAUCCAUAAUCCAUCAUAUGUUUUCAUCCACAAAAUUGACAAGCAUACACAAAUUUAGUUCAUAAAAUAAGCUCUAUACAUCACAAUAUCGAUAAUCAUGCUUAAAGGGAAACAAGAAGACGAAGAACAUCUCCUCUAACAUUUUAAAAGCUGCAACAUGCUCGAAAUCCAUGCAUGCAAGGCCACAACUAUUUUGAAUGAGCUAAAUUUUGAAGCAAGUAAUUUUCAAGGUGCCGAGAAAUAAGAAAUCAUAUGUAAAAGAGAAUGUUAACAUGAAUCAUUUCAGGAUAUGCAUGUCAAAUGCUAAUAAAAAACAUAGCUUGAUACUGAAUUUGAAAGAGUAUGCGGGCCAAAAGAAGAGGAGAUUCCAACAUCCACUAAAAACUAACAAUCGAACACUACUAUUUAUUGCACAAACCUCACGUUUGAGAUCCCCAUUGAUGUUGUCAUCAUCAAAAACCUCCUGAAAACUUUGAUUCGGGUUAAACCCGCAUGGAGAACCACAUUCUUCGAUGUCUAAGAAGCAAAAGAGCAAAAUUUAAUUCAGAUUCGCCAAAAUAAUGAGAUGAUUAUAUUUCUGAACAAAUAUUAACUCAGAAGUUUCAAAGACCAUACCUUUAUCCUCACUCAGAAACACCGAUCCGAGAUUGUUCUUCGACAAGAGAUUAUCCUGUAAUAAUCAGAAUGGUUUGGCACGAAUUAAGCAACGAAAUGGGGAUUAAAUUACCAAAAAAAUAAUCCAAACAAAGAGAUUUAUCAUCUUACCCCACCGUUCGAAGAGAUCGAAAUCUGACGCGGAGGGGUCUUCCUCCGCUCGUCGUCCUUGAUUCUAAAGCACGCGAAGAAGCACCCCAUGAGCACGGACUCGAGGAACCCUAGAGCCGCCUUGAUCGCCCGACACUUCGAUCGCUUCAUGAAUCACAACAACAGCGAGAGGGAAUGAAGGUCGAGAUCGAGGGAUAGGGGAGGCGAAUUAGGGUUAUCGAAAUCGGAAUCGAUUGAGGCCGAGAUCGAGAUCGAGGGGGGAGAGAGAGAGAGAGAGAGAGAGAGAGAGAGAGGUCGCGAGGGAGUGUCAAAAAUUGGGAAUUUUUCUUUUUCGAAAUUUAAAUUGGUAGGAAGAGGGAAACAAGAAAAACAGAAAACCGAACCGGACCGAUGAACCGGGCCUAUUACAUUGCCAAAAACCGGGUUUAACUAUUAUUGAACCGGACCGUUGAACUAUUUUGAAUCAACUGUCUAAUAUUUUUAAAAAUUUAAUUUUUUAAUUUAUUUAUUUUAAAUCAGUCGACAAUAUUUUAAUUGAUUUUAAAAUUCGAAUAGAUUGAUACAAGUUCAUAACUGUAAAUUUAUGAAAAUAAGUAAUUAACUUAAAUAUUAAAAUUAAAAUAUUAUUAAUUGAUUCAAAUUAAAUAAAUUAAAAAUUAAAUAGUAAUUAGCUGAGUAAAAAUUGUUUAUAGUAAUGAAAAAAUUUGGUACGUUUUUAUCUAAUUAAUGACAAAUGCUACUGCAUUUAAUUGGUAGAUAGGUAAAAAUCAUGCAUUUACAAAAUUAUUUAAGGUGAAAACUGGGUACUAAAUUCGAUUUAAAAUUGGAAAUAAGGUACAAGAGCUCCAUGCUCAAAAAUAAAAAAAAAUUUUAAAACAUUAUUUUUUAAUUAUCUGAAAAUUCGGACAAGGAAUGUAAAUGAAACGGAUUUAGGCGCAGAAUAGAUUUACCCACCACCCAUCUAGUUUUCUUGACGGAUAGAAAUUGACUUGCGACGAAUUUAUUUUUAUUUUUAUUUUAUUUGGAGAAGAUUAAAAUGGAAAUUAAUUUUUAAAUAAAAAAUCGAAAUAGUUCGAAAUAAAAAAAAUUAUUUUUUCUUCUCUUAUUUUAUUUUGUUAGUGGCUAAGAUCGGAUUCAAUACGAGGGGAGCUCCAUCAACCCGGAUCCAAAAUGCAUUCCUAGUUGAGAUUAUAUUAUUACUAGUAAAGUCACCCGCGCGUAGAGAUGUCAACGGGUCGGAUUCGGGGCGGGUUUUUAAAAACCCGAACCCGAACCCGACUCCAAACCCGAGACCCGAACCCGAACCCGAACCCGAACCCGACGGAUUUUAAAAAUCCAUAUCCAAACCCGAACCCGACCAAAAAUCCGAAAUCCGAACCCGAACCCGAACCCGAAAAUUUGAACCCGAAACAAUUAUUUCUUUUUUCAAUAUUUCAAAAUAUAUUAUAUUAAAUUUAAAUUUUUAAAAUACAAAUUUAAAUAUAACAUCAAAUUUAUAUAUAUAUAUUAUAUAUAAUACAAAAUAAAUUCGGGUUCGGGUCGGGUUCGGGUUCGGGUCGGAUACAAUCAAAAUCCAUAUCCGAAUCCAUAUCCGUCGGGUUUCUAUUUUUGAUAUCCAUAUCCGAAUCCAUAUCCAUAUCCAUCAGAUAUAUCCGUUUCAUUCGGGUUCGGGUUCGGAUAAAAUUUCGGGUAUCCAUACCCAUUGACAUCCCUACCGCCAGCGGAGAAGCAUCAGCUGCUUAUAUGGAGUAGAUGCAGUAAUCUUUAAUGGCAAAUGUACUAGAAUANGAUUAAUUACUAGUUAAGUCUGUGAUGGGUCGAUCCUAAAUGCAUAAUAAAAAAAAUAAGAUAAGAACUAACAGUAUAUUUAUAAUAGUGUUCAAAUUUAAAACUAACAAAAUAUUUGAAAUUUGCAAUCAUUACAUAUUUUACAAAUUCAAAAAAUCUAAAAACCAAUGAUAUAUUUAUAUGGGAGAACUAUAAAAAAUCUCAUAUGAAAGAGAACUAAGCAGUGACUAACAAAUAUAUAAAAAAUUAUACCAUAUUUGUAACUAUAAGUUUGCAAAUCAGAUAAAAAAAAAAGAGUGCAAAAAAUGAAAAAAAAGAUGCAUGUAAGAUAUACCGAUAUAUUAGUUAGUAACAUUCGAAAAUAUAGAGAAGAAAUAUCAAUAAUAUUAACAAGUUAAUAGAAACAGAAAUUCAUUCACUACAAAAGGUGGAGUAAUUUAAUACAACUAAGUACUACUUUAACUAUAAUAUUUGGUCAAGAUGAUAAUUAAAAUGUGAUUUGUACUUCUCAGAUAUUCUUGAAAUAGCAAAACAAAACAAUCGUUGCAACAUUUCCUGCCGUGUUAAUCUUCACUUUUCUUCGUAACUUGAUUCGAAACUUUCCAUGUAACUACAAAACAAAGUACAGUAUAAGUUAUUAUUCUUAUUGAUUUUUCAAUGCAAUGUGAACUUCUAAUUGAUUCAUUCUUAUCUGCGUGCUCUUUUUCGACUAUUUGAUUGUUCUUCAGAUAUCUCUGGACUAGCUUGCAAGUUGUUGAUGAAAACAAUAUAGGAAAUUUUUAUUUAUGGUAACAUUCCUGAAUGCAAUAACUCAGCAAUGUAAGAUAGCUUGCAUGAGUAUUUUGUGCUGUGCCAUUGCCCAUGAUCACGUCCAAGUGCUUGGUGUUCGGCUACACGCGCCGCACGAUCCCCUCCCAGUUGUCCCCCGAGCACUCCGCGGCGAUCCGCUGGGCUAGUUCGGGCUCUGGCUUGGUCAGGAGCUCUCCGACGGCCUCGCAGACGGAGGGGUCGGUGACGAUGGCGGGGUUCAGGGUUCCGGUGGAUAAGCCGUGACAGAUUUGGGGCCGGUGGAGGCAGAGGAAGUGGAGGGCGCGGAGAACUGAAGGCGAAGAUGGCGUCGAUGUGGAGGACGUCGGCGGAGAGGAGGAGGCCGCAGAGCAUUUGCGCGUACAUGCUCUAGAAGGGGUCGGGGCAAAGGAUGGCGGUGGUGGGGUUGGUGUAGACGUUGUAGGGGUCGCAGGGGCGCGCGUCGGCACGAGAUCUGGAAGGGAGGAGAGAGAAGGUGGAAGGAGGACUGCGGAGAGAAGACGUAGGUGAGAUGAAGAGAGAGAAUGAGAGGACAUUGGGUUGGGGGGUGGGGAAGUGGGGAGCGGGAGAUGAGGGGAUGCCGGGUUGGGGAGGAGGGGGAGCGGGAAUCGAAGGGACGUCGGGUCGGGGAGAAGGGGGAGCGGGAGUUGAAGGGACGUCUGGUGAAGGAUCAAAAGAGAGAAGAAAAGAUUAAGAGUAAAUAAAAAAAAUAAAAAUAAAAAUAAAUUUUAAAAAAUUGUGGUUUUGUCACGUCAGCUUUAAAUCGUGGGGAUUAAUAUAGAGUUUAUAGAUUUAUAGAUUAUUGUUAUUAAUUAUUAUUAUUAUUAUUAUUUUGGUUCGGUUUGGUGAGAGGUGGUGAGUACACUUUGAACUCUUCUUCUUCUUCUUCUUCGUCUUCGUACCACUCUCGUCUCAAACCCUCGUCUCGGAUCUCGGAGACCUAAAAAUGUCGGCGUGGGGCGACGCGGCGUUGGCGGGGAAGAAGCCCCCGAAGCGGGUCGGGGGAAUGGAAGAAGCCCUCUCCAUCGCCUCCGAUCUCGGCUUCUCCACCCCUCCCUUCCAGGUCCCCCAUUCCUCCCCACAAUUCCUUUUUUCCCCCUAUUUUUCUCCUCUCUCUCUCUCUCUCUCUCUCCUGCUACCUUUCGAUGGUAAUUUGGCCUUAUAAAUGUUCGGAUUUUUUCACUUGUUCUAUCAUCUAUGUGGAGAGGCGAGUUUGAAUCUCCUACUGUGCUCUUUCUAUGUUGAAUUGUGAAUUCCCGUACCAAUUUGACGUUUAUUUUUACUAGCUUUUGGUGCUCCUCCUUGUUAAAUGCGGCUCCUUUUUGAUGCUAAAUAUCGCACUUGUUCUCUGUGGCGAGAGGCGAAUUUGAAUCUUCUGUUGUGGCCUUUCUGGGUUAAAUUGUGAUUUGUUGUACUAAUUUAGGCAUUUAUUUCCCCUUCAUUUUUUUAGUAGAUUUUAGCUCUUUUCUUCGGUAAAUGCAGCUCUUUUGGAUGAUAAUUUGGUCUUAAUUUUGCGAUCGCACUUGUUCUAUGUGUGGAGGCAAAUGUGUAUCUCCUAUUGUGGUCUUUCUAGGUAAAAUCAUUAAUUCCUAUGCUCAUUGAGGUGUACAAUCUGUUUUACCUUAUCCUCUUUGUUAAAUGCGGUUCCUUUUGAUGUUAAUUUGGUCUUAAUAUUUGGGCCGGCACUUCUUCUAUUUGGAGAGCAAAUGUGAACACUCUAUUGUGCCUUUUCUUGGUUAGAUCGCGUAUUCCUGUGCUUAUUGAGGUAUCGUAUUAAUUUGAAUUCAUUAAUCUGAUACUUAGCAUUGCGGUUCCUUGUAGGAAGAUCAAACCAACUCCUUUACUGCUGAGAAAGGCGACGACUUGAUAGAGAUCUUGAGAGAAUUGACUUCUGUACAACGAAACAUUGCUAAUUUGCAAGUUGAACUUCAAGGGCGAAAGGUGCGUAUGUAGUCUCGCUUUUGAAAUGAAUUUUCUGUUUACUUCUUGUAUGAUCUAUUCGCUUUGAAAGAAACAGGCUUUCGUUUAAGAAGUCAUGUGAACAUAUUUAUACCGAUUUACUUUUUUCUCUGGUAUUGUAAUUUCAUUAGUGUUUAGACCUCUAUUCGAUCACCUGGACAUGAUAAUGGAUCAGAGAUUAAGAUUUAAAGCUUAAUUUUUUUUUAACUAUCAUGGCGAACCUUUGAUUGCACUGUUAAGGGUGAAGCAUUGUAUUCUCAGCUAAUUCCAUUGAAUAAUUCUUGUUUAGUAUGAGCUGGAUUAUUUUUUUUGUUAAUAUUGUGGAUGCAGCUUUAUUUUAUUCUUUUGCAAACCGGCUUUAUGAUAAAGUGAUUUGUUAUGCGUUUGUCAAUAAGCAGGACUAGUUUGCAUGAAUAGCAUCACUUUAACCUGUUGCUUUCCUGAUGCUCUAUGCAAGCUACGAGGAACGCAAGAAAGGUCAUAUGAUGCGAGUUACCUCCAGUUUGCUGAUUGUAAUAAAUGAAUCAAUGAAACCAGCUUUUUUUUUAAAAAAAGUUUCUUUUGUUUCCUUUUCUUCCUUUUUUUAUUUGUUGUUAUGCCUAUGCUAUGAAAGUUGGCUUCUCUUAACUUCAGGUUUGAUGUUAUUUAUGUUUUAGUCGUACUGCCAAUGAGUAUUAAAAUAUUUCUUCAUCCUCUCCUCUAAUACAAUAACUUAUCCUCAACUAAAUUUUGAAGUCAUGAAUCAUUGCUACUUCCCUAUCCUUUUUCAGCCAUUUGAAUCUUACUACGUAUUACUUUUCAGUUUUCAGUUGUCAUUUGAUCACCAUUUCAAUUUUAACCGUAGAUUACUUUUGUCAUCCCAAUUUUCCUAAUAUAUUUUCUUGUGAAUUACUCAGGAUGAUAAGACCAUUGCACAUCUGACACAUGUGAGUGAAAUGGAAAAGAAAUGCGAGUCCUUGGCCAGAAUUACUGCUAUUCUGAAAGAUGUAAUUCAAAACAAGGUAAACAGGGCUUAGAAGAAAUUUCUUUUUGUUUCAGCACAAGGUAUAUGUUCUAUAAUGCGGUCCAUUCUUGUAACAAAAUUUCAUUCGACUUUACAACUCCAUUUAUCACGGGUAUAAGAAUUUUUAAAUAUACUUGCUUUGCUGUGUUCAUCUAUGCAUUAAAACUUGCAAUUUUGGCAGGAUCGCAUCAUUGCUCGACUUCAGCAACCGUACUCUCUUGAUUGCAUUCCGGUGGAAGCUGAAUAUCAGGUAGGAGGUCUAAAGCUGCACACAUGAUAUAAAGAACACUACAAAGCUAAACACUUCAAGUAGUAUAAUACUACAAAUUUUAUAUCCUAAGGUUCGGAUUGGCAGGAGCUUUUAAUUCUGCUGUUAUGAGUAGCCGUUCAUGAAAAUGUUAAAGAAUUUUCAAUUAGUUUUGCCCAACUGCUUCCUGCUGCAGCAGAAUUAGAAGCUUUUGAUAACAGUUUUUUAGGGCUCUGUUUAGCUUCUCGCUAUGGAAAGUGCUGUUUACUUUUGCGUUUUGGAAUGAAAUAUCUGUUCCAAAAGCCAGGACAAACAAGCACCAAGUCUCAGGAAAUGUAUUACUUCUCAGUGCUUGCCAAAUCUCCAUUUCUACAUGGUUACUUUUUGAGAUAUUUUUCCUUUUUUAGUUUUCUAAUCUUCCUUUUGAUUUUCGUACUUGCGAUUCAGAAACAAUUCUCGGAGUUGUUGAUGAAGGCUGCUAGUGACUAUGGGGCUUUGACAGCAUCUAUUGCUGACUUUCACUGGAGCCAGAAUUUUAGAGAGGCCCCUUCAGUUUGGGGGGUAAGUUCUGAGUACUUGUAUAAUGAAAUAUUUCUACUAAUACCUUACGAUUUUUUUUUUUUUUUUUUUUGACUUUAGCUAGAAUUUCAAAACUUCUGAACCAAAAAAAAAGAGAAAAAACUAAAGAUUAUGCAUAUAACCUGUAGGAAAUGCUUCGUCCAAUACCUGCCGCUCUCGCGUCGUGUACCCGCUUCUUCGAGGCAAUGUCUGCUACGAGAGACUCUUUUGCGACCCUCCAACAGCUUCGCGUAGGCAGUUCUUCUAUUCAGCAUUCCGAAUUCUCAACCCCUCCUCAAUGGAGAGACGGUGCUGCAGGCGAUCGAAUACUUUGAUGGCUAGGAGGCAGGAGAAAGAGCGAAAGAUGCUAUGGAGGAGAGUAAAAGUAGUUUGGUGAAAUAAAUCACUUAAGAAAGGGGUUUGUGGAUUGCAAAAGCAUCUAUUGUGGCUUCUCUUGUAAAGUUAUGGAAUUCUUUUGUAUCAUAAACCACAAAAAGGAAGCAGGAUUUAAUUUAGUUUUCUUCUGCUUCGUCUUCGGCAAAUUUGUGAAAGUAUUUUGGUUUAUUAAUGUUGUAUGUUGCUUAUCCUAUUCUUGGUUCUAACCAGUUCCUAUGUGUGACAUUUGUGUACAUCAGUGUAAAUAUAGAUAUGUAGAUUGUUACCAAGGACAAAAAAAAAUUUGUAUAUUUUGCGCGCCAACUGGUGGGAAAAUCAACAUAAGCUUAAGAUCUUUCUGAUAUUUGAAUUUGAAAUUAGUUGGCCAGUAUUGUUUCUGAUACUUGAGCUUCAAAAUAUUUGCUCAAUUUUGAAGUAAUCUUUGUUUCAGUAGUGUAUGAUGCUACUGAUGAUGUUCCUACUGUUUUUAAAUUUUCUUUUCCAUCUUUGUUUUGGUUGCUGAAUUACGAUUUAUAAAUGGACCAAAUUGCAUUACUCUGCAAGCAAAAGUAAAGCUCAUAUAAUUUUUUCUGUUUUUUAUUUUUCAAAAACUACUUAUUUACAAUAUUUAAACGUCCUAAAUCUUAUAUUCUUCAAUCAUGUAUUUAUUAGAGUAGGAAAAUAUUUCUACAAUCGUUAGGCGAUUCAAUUUUUUUUUAAAAAAAUAUCUAUUGAUCAUCAAAACUCAAUUCUAAAUCAGGAAACAUACACAGUGAAGAUGCUUUUAAACAUGUCACACCAACGUACGACGUUUAGUGCAAGCUUUGACUAGUCAAAGAGUCAAAGUCAAAGCUACAAUAGUUUUCGUACAGUACCAUAGAUGGAAAAUUCACCAGCCUCCAAUCAAACUGGGACACGUGUCACGCCGAAUACUGUGACCACAAUUUGCUUUGAUUGUGGCCCUGUUGUUCCAUUUAUUUAUUUAUUUGUUUAUUUUCAUUCCACAAUUACUCCCCUCGCUCUUUAUUAUCCUAUAUGAAAAUGUGUGGCUCUUAUCUAAACUAUGUAUUACUGACUACUUUAAAAAAAUUUAAUUUGCUUCAUAACCUAUUAAUUUAAUUAAUUUUAACUAUUUAAUAAUUUUUUAACUUUAAAAUUUAGAUGUGUUAUCUGUUUUUACAGACUUAAUUAAUAUAUUUUAUAUAAAUUUUGUGACUAUAAAUUUAUUAAAAUAAGAAAGGAGCCUAAAUUCUAUAUCGAAAAAUUAUCAAAUUACAUACAUCAUUAUACAUUGAUGAAUAACUCUACUAAAAUAACACUUCUUUCUUUAGUAGCUUCAAUUUUGGAUGGAAAUUAAACACCAUUCUCAUUUCCUCUUCUUGCUUGCUUAAAGCUUCUACCUACAUAUAUUAGGAUUCCCAAUACUCCUAAUUAAGCAACUCCCUUUUGGAUUCAUUUAUUUUUUCCUUUCUAGUUGAAACUUAGAUACUACCUACCCAGGGAGUGGACAAUAUUUAGUUCUAACUAAGAAUGAAAAGCAAGUUUGAAUCAACUUUGUUUCUUUUUAAUUUCUUUGUUGUGUUAAUUCCUUAUGCUCACUCACAAUAAAAAUAAGCUUGUAUUAAAGAAGUCAAGGUGUACAAUUUAUUCAAGCAAGGACAAGUCCUUCGGAGAAAAUAAUUGAUCGACAAUGCUAAUUAAAGGAUCAUCUUGUUAAUAAAAAAAAGACUCGAAUAUUUGAAAUUAUUCUCAAACUAAAAGCCUCAAAUCCUCUGUAAGGGACCGUUUGAUUAGAUGUAAUUAUAAAUACAGUAUAUAUUGUUAGAGAUGCAUGCAGUUGAAAAUGCAGUAGUUACAAUUAUAUACAUUUUGUUUCGUUGGAUGUAGUAAAAAAGCGUUGCAACUAUUUAUAAAUAAUUUAUUUGGUUGCGUGCAGUUUAGAAAUAAUUUUUAGAAUUUUAUUAUUUUAUAUGUAUGUGAUGGUAAGAUUACCUUUAAUAUAAAAAAAUAUAUAUUUUUUGUUUAAAACAUAUUUAAAGAGGUAAGAUUAUCUUUUAUUUUUUCAAGUGCUGCAGUUGGAUUUUCUCCUACAGUUUUUACUACAACAGUUAAAAUUAAAUAUAUCAAACUAAAUACCGAAUUUGUAUUUACAUAUAGUUAUAACUGUCGUGCAGUGACAACUACAUACAACCAAACGACCCAUAAAUUGCAAUGAGAGGUACAUGUACUCGGACACAAGCGAUUGAUGAAUCAAUUUUCCUAAAGGUAAAAGGAUCGAUUACCCAUAAUUGGUACAUUCAUAAGUUUUAUGUGGUGAUUGUAUGAAUCAAGAAACAAUUGAUCAUUCUCUUAUUAAUUAAUACCAUGUGUACGUGAACAAACAAAUUAAUCAACAUUUUAAGGUACGUGUAGCACACGGUACACUUUAAUUCCUAAUGUACCAUCAAACAUCGGCUAUUAAUUGAUGACAAUGGAGAGAGAUUUGACCAUUCGAACCGAUCCAUCAAGAGAACACUUUACGUCUUUUACAUGAAUUACUACUGUAUAGGCAAAUUUAUACAGCACUUAAUUUGGACUGUGUAUACAAGAUCAAGUCACAAAAAGGCUCCAUGUAAUGCAAGCGGACACAUCGACACGCGCUCCUUGCUUGAAGCAGGAAUUGAACCCGAGUCACAUUUAUAUUAGCGGUAUUCAAUUACGUACGAAUUAGAAAUUCUCGCUCUCUCUCUCUCAAAGAUACUUGUAGGCUGUUCCACAUACGCACUCUUUGUUAGAAACAGGAAUUGAAUCCGAGUCACAUUUAUGUAUAUACCAGAGGUACUCAAUUAUGAAAACGCUCGUAGACUAUUCCACACAGUACGUACUCCUUACUUGAAGCAGGAAUUGAAUCCGAGUCACAUUUAUACUAGCAAUAUUCAAUUACGAAUUAGAAACUCCCUCUCUCUGUGUUGAAGACGCGUGUAAGCUGUUUCACACACGUACCCCCUACUUGAAGCAGGAAUAGAACUCGAGCCACAUCACGUAGACAAUAAGAAGGUAUCACGCAGCUACUCUAGAUAUCGAUAGCGGUGGUGUCAAAGUUUCUCAACUAACUAGGCCCACUAAAGUGAAAGAUGUCAUCUUCCAUUUAUUAAUGCAUACGUACAAAUGCUUUGUAAUUAGGCCAUUAUCAUUAUAUUCUUGAGCUCCCAUUGUUAAUUUGUUCCCUUCUCAUUUUCAUCUCACACCUCAUCGAGAGAGAGAGAGAGAGAGAGAGAGAGAGAGAGAGAGAGUUUGUGUAUAGAAGUAUACAACACGGCAAGCAAAUAUUACACUAAUUAAUGAGAACGUCAAAGAAAGGGAGAGAGAGAGAGUGAAAUAGUUAAAGUCGGCACCGUCUUUCAUUGACAAGCACGACGAUUUUUCUUUUUUCCAUCUCCAAAUAUAAAUCUCAGAUGUUCACUUAAGGUCAUUUUAUCUUUGGUAUUUUGCGUCGAGUCAUGUCCACCACCGGCCCUUAAUUUUGACCAAUUAGGGACCGAUAAAGUGCGAAUUUGAAAAGUCGCAAUUUAAUUUGAUCACGAGUAUGUUGUGUCACAUGUUAAAGAGAGUUUAGUGUAUAUAUAUAUAUAUAUAUAUAUAUACUAUUUUAUCGAAAAUAUAGAGAAUUUGAUGUUUAUGACUUUUUGACUCUUAAAUCAAGAAUUGUACGGGGAUGAAUGUGGUCCCCUCCUAAGGUUGAGUAGUACGCUUAGAGUUCAGUGGUCCCCACAAGAUAAUAAUAUUAAUCCAAAUGUUAGAAAUGAUCAAAAAAAUUUAUCUGAGGGUUAAAAAGUCAGAAGCAUCAAAUUUUGUAUGCUUCCAAUUGUAUAGUAGCUCUACUCUAUAUAUAUAUAUAUAUAGAGAGAGAGAGAGAGAGAGAGAGUAGGGCUACUAUACUCUUAUAUAAGUAUAGAGCCCUCGUACUCAUAAAUUGUUUUCGAUGGUGGAGAUUUAGAAUCGACGAUUUAUACUGUUAAAUAUGAUUUAAAGUAUUCAAAACUUUUAAAAAAUAAAUUUCGUAAUUUUUCGAAAUCAUAAUAAAAGGUAUAAAAUGAACAGUCAAAAUCGAAUGAUGUCUUAAAAAUAAAUGAUUGGAUCCUUUAAUUUAAGAUCGGAGUUAUUGAUCUUUAUUUAUAUAGUGAAUAGAAUUUUUUAUCAAAAAUUCAACCAAUUUUGAUUGUUUUACACCAUUAAACUAGCAAGUAUUUCAUACUGCCCAUUAAAAAUUAUCAAUUUUAAUAUUUUAUGAUCGUAAGAUAAAUGAUGUCAAAAAAUUAUAAAAAUUGAUUUAUACAAAUUUUAAAUGCUCUAGAUAACAUUUAAACGGUAUGGAUUGUCGAUUCGGAAACUUUAUCAUCAAAAAUCACUUAUGAGUAUGAAGACGAUCGUACUCAUAAGAGUAUAAUAGUUGAACUCUCUCUCUUUCUCUCUCUAUAUAUAUGUGUGUAUGUGUGUAUUACAUACUGUAUCGAUGUAUGUGCUUGCGUACAUACGCAUAUGAUUCCCAAUAAACUUUAAUUUAGGGGUGUAAACAAGCUGACCUCGAGCUCGACCUUGAUUUUUAUUUGGACUAUCACAACUUGAACUUGUUUAAUAAUAAAAGUUGCUCUGUUAACGCUGUUACUCAAAAGAUCAAUUUAUUAAGUAAUUGCCAGAAAUACAUAUAUAUUAAUAAUUUCCCUCAUAUGCAUGCAUGAUGAAUAUAUGAAAACACAUGAUCUAUUAAGAAAAUGGCUUAAAUUGAUCAAUUAAGAAAUCAUAUGCAGAAUGAAUAUGAAAAUCACAUAAAAUUUAUAGAUGAAGUAGGAGACGAUAGUUGAAGCAGGAGAUGGGGAUUUAACCAUUAUAUAAUCACAAAAAUUUAAACUAGUUAAUUAAGCAUCAAAGGUGAUGAUUGAAUCCAUAAUCUCACGAAACGAAACAGUUUAAAAUUAGCUCUGAUACUAUAUAUGUUACCGAAAGAUCCAUUACCAUGUUGGAACUAAUUGGAUGGGGAAGUAGUAAGGCAAUAGAGGUAAGGUGGAUUUCGAAAAAGCCUAUGAUAGGAUACACUGGUCCUUUCUUUUUAGCAUUUUCCAAUGGUGGGGAUUCGAAAAAAAAUGGUGCGGAUGGAUCGAGCAGUGUGUGUGUAACGCGAAAGUAGCUAUUUUGGUCAAUGGAGAGGCGACCAAUUGGAUCAAAACUCAGAGAGGGGUACGUCAAGGGGAUCCAUUAUCUCCAUUCCUUUUCUUGCUGGUGGCGGAAUGCCUUGCUAGAAUGACCAACGAGGCUACUGCCAACAACCUACUUGAGGGUAUUGGUCCAUCCGACAAGAGUAGAACUACCCUAAUACAGUUCGCGGAUGACACCUUCUUCUUCUCUGCGGCUAGAAAAAGUUAUAUGAGAAACCUAAGGCUGAUGUGGCACCUGUUCGAGUGGGCCUCAGGGUUGAAAAUAAACAGAGAAAAGUCAGAACUAUUUUACCUUGGACAGGUUGAGGGCAAAGCGGCAAAACUGGCAAAAUUGCUCGAGUGUCGAGUUGGGACCCUUCCUACCACUUAUCUUGGGUUUCCCCUUUCCCAUAAACCCCCAACAAAGGAGGUUUGGAGAGGGAUCAUUCAGAAAAUCCAGAAUAAAAUUGACGGAUGGCAAGCUAAACUCUUAACUAGAGGGGGUAGACUUAUCCUGACUAACGCUGUCCUUUCAAAUCUGCCGCUUUACUUCUUGUCAGUGUUUAAAGUACCUAAAUGGGUGAUCAAACAUAUUGAAGCCUUACGUGGAGACUUCUUCUGGAGCGGCGAGAGUAACUCUGCAGGUAAGGGAUGUUUGGUGGCAUGGAGGAACGUCUGUGUCAGCAAAAUGGAAGGUGGGCUGGGUAUUUUGGACGUAGCAAUAAUGAAUCAGGCACUACUGGUCAAAUAGUGGUGGCGAUUUUAUACAGCACCCCACCUUCAGUGGACCAAGAUUAUCCGCGCUCUAUAUUACAAUAGAAGGCGACCCAUGAGGGACGGAAAAUCCUUCAGACCACACUCAUAUUGGUGGAAGGGAGUCAUUCUUACUAAAGAUAUUUUCAAAUGGGGAAUCCAGUUUGGGUGAUGGGAGCUCUAUUGACUUUUGGUCGGACCGAUGGUGUGGGGAAAUGACCUUACUUUCGUCUUUUCCGGAAAUCCACGCGAUGAUGGAUCGCAAGCUACUAACGUCAAGGAUUGCUUCGGAAGUGAUGAUUGGAAUUGAAAUAGAAUUCUGGGUGGUGUAAGUGACGUGGCGAACAUUAAUACUGGACCAGGUUCCAACCUAUUGGCGCUAAGGGAAAGGGUUGGCAACUAUAGAGUAGUGCAAAGUCCUGACACGAUUGGGUGGAGAUGGAGUAACAACGGAGUAUUCUCGGUCAAAUCGGUGUACAGAGCGUUGAGUGAUAGGGGUACGAAGGAUGGGCGCGCUUCCAAGAUCUGGAAGCUCCAAAUUCCCCUCAAGGUUAAAGUGUUCUGUUGGCUGGUCCUUAAGAAGAGACCUCUUACAGCUAAUAACCUUGUGAAGAAAGGUUGGACCGGAGAUUCUGGCUGUGUGCUGUGUAGGGUAGAUGAGGAGACAGUGGAUCACCUGUUCUCUCAAUUCGUUGUUACAAAAUUCUGUAUGGUGAUGAUUCGAGAGGGAGUUCAGGCUGGGGAGAUAGGAGAAGAUGUACGUUACAUCUGGGAUAGGUGGUCGGCCAAGAAAGGGCUGCAUAUUAAACAGAAUAGCUUACCUGAAUUGGUCGCUUGCUAGUGGACCAUUUGGAAGGCUAGGAACGAUUUGAUCUUUCGAAACGUCCAUUUUGACCCUGUUAUGGGUGUUCAUAGGAUUAAGCAGCUACUGAAGUCCUAGGAACCCCUCUUACGACNUAGAAGCAAGGUUAAUCUAGUAAAUCAUUUGUGUGUAUUACACAAGGAUUAUUUAGAGACCAUAGAUUACUUAUUCACUAGUGGUGUUUUUUUUUUUUUUUUUUUUUUUUAUAGAGGCCCGGGUUGCCUUACUUCUGUAGCCUAAUUCAUACUUUCAAUGAAUGAAACAGAUAGCUUACUACCUUUCCUCAAAAAAAGAAAUAUAUAUUAACAAACGCCACUAUCUUCUUUUGUUUCUUUUGUUUUUGUUUUUUUUUAAGUAGAAUAUAUAGAAUUAUCUGUUAGGCAAAACUAUUGAUAAUUCCAAGCCUGGUUGUCCUUGUCCACUUGAGCAAAGCAGUGUGUGCAUUAAUUUGAUAGAGAGUUUGCACCAUUUUUGACAAAGAAACGUGUACAAACAUUGAACAAUUAAUGUCGCCUUAUUCUCUCUCCUAGCCUUUUUCGUCUAAGAUAUCGUCAUUGUAGCUGUGCGGGGAUUAUUAAGCCACAACUACUGCACCAUUGACUUGAGACAUUAAUUUAGCCCCACACAAGCUUCUUAUAUAUAUAAACCACAUGCUGUAGUGCGAACUUAAAUAUUAUAAAUAAAUAAAUAAGCACUCAAGCAUGCUUGUAUAUAUGCAUGCAUGAGAAUCAUAUGCUCAUUGCUAUAUAUAUAUAUAUAUAUAUAUAGUUUUUUAUCACCAUAUAGUAAAUUUGCUAGUGGUUUUGGCCAUGAUAUUUAUAGAUAAUUACCAUUCAUUCCUACACUGUUAAUUGUUAAAAUUUCCAAUGAUGUAAGUAAUGAAAAAAGGAGAGAGGUUCCUUAGUAAGUGCAUGCUAACUAAGUGCUUGUUUGGUUCCACUUAACAACUUGUUUUUAUUAGACAAAUAGUGCAAGGCUUUUUGGUGAAUAAAAAGUCUGAAGCUUUAGCAAAAAAUAACGGAAACUAAAAUGAAUUAAUUCAAAAGGUGCUAAUUAUAUAUAUGGACCUUUGGUUUUGUUCUUCUGCUCUUCGUUUUAGCAAAAGUUUUGAAGGAUAUUUUAAUAAAAAAUAAAAUUACUAUUGGUAUUUUAGGGCUUAAGUUGAAUAACACUAUAGAAGCUCCUAAUUAAUGGUCUGAAUAGGGGUUCUGCAUGAAAUGGUAGGCAAAGUUAAUUGCUUAUUUAUAUAAACUAAUCAUCAAAAAAACUAAACAAAAUCCUUUGUAUAUGAAUCCACUUUUGCAAUUCAAUACUAGGAAUGGAAAAACUACAUGUUGAAAAGAAAGAAAGAAAGAAAGAAUCUAUACACCCUGCUUAGGUCCAUGGCAACGAUGGAAUUCCGAAAUUUUACCAAGGUUAAUUUAGUCCUUGUACAAAUUAACUUAAUUAGAAAACAUCACAAUAACUUUAUAUAGUUAGAUAACCCUAGCUAUACCUAGGUAUAGCCACUUUUUCUGAAGCUAGGGUUUGGUGCAACAUUUUCUUCUAGGGCAGUGAAGUUAUAUAUGACUUGACCUAGUCAAAGAGAUGAGAGGCUAGAUAACAUACACACAAUAAUUUUCUUCUAUUACAUCAGUUUAAAUCGAAUCAAAAAUUAAAUUAUUAUAAAAUACAUUUUAUUGCAACAGUUUACGCUGCUGUAAUAUUAAAAAUCAUAUUAUUUAGUUGUAUAUUACUAUAAAAUUUAUAACAAUGAUUUGCAAUAGUUCUUGUUUGUGGUAAAAUAUUAUUACUGCAACUAAUAGAUAUCAAUUGCAAGAAAAAGAAUGAAUUUUUAAUAGUACUACAGGAUAAAUAAAGAGGUUCCAUAGUUUUUUUUUUUUGAGAGAGAUAGGUGGCAUGCUAACUGUUUCGUUUAUUUCAUUUAAAACUAAAAAAUUUAACUGAAAAUGUGAAUCAAUUUGAAUUCAAAUUUGGAACUUCGAGUACCAACUAUCAAACCUUUUACCACUUGUAUUAGGGACAGUCAAUGGUUCGAUAGUUUUUUUUUCGUAUGGUUGGUGUGUAUGGGGCCUAACUUAAUUAUCACCAACAAAGUUCUUAUGAUCACCUUCAGGAAAAAGCCUUUAGAACUAGAGAGAGAGAGAGAGAGAAAGGGAGAAAGAGAGAAAGAGAGAGAAACAAAGGUGAAAUAAGAGAUAUGAUCACCAUGAGAGGGUUAGAGAGGAGAUCAGGAGUGAGGCAGUACAACAGAUCUCAAGUCCCACGCAUUCGAUGGACCGAGGAGCUCCACCGCUGCUUCGUCAACGCUGUCGAUCGCCUUGGAGGAGAGGAUAGUAAGUUCUAGCAAGCUUGAAUAUAAUUAGCAAAAGUUUAAACCUUAAUUUUUGCACUUUUUAUUUGAUUCUCCCUCUCUCUCUCUCUCUCCUUCUCUCUCUCUCUCUCUCUCUCUCUCUCUCUCUCUCUCUCUCUCUCUAGUUAUCAUGUAUACAUGUGCACACACAGUGUAACAUAUAUGAGAGUUGAUUCUUGAAGAGUUAGGUAUGGUUAUUGGUGCAUGCAACUUGAUGCAGCAAAUUUAUUACCAUGAUCAAGUACUCUUGUACUUUUGUUUUCUUUUACUUUUUGAAACAUAUCUAACUAUAAUAAAAUGAACAGUCAAAUAACUAAUAUGAAUCUAUUAUAACUUCGUUGAAUAGAUGAGGACAUACUACAAAAAAAGCUGCAGGAAUUUGAUUAAGGGUUAUACCAAAGAACAUGGCACAGAAAAUUAAAAUUUUUACUUUUUAAGUGGAUCAUAUAUUUUAGUAACUCACUUUUGCUUUGUUCCGAAUUUGCUGAAGCUAUUAUGAGUACCUCUUAGAUUGAUCUUUUGGGUCUCAACCAUGCCCGUGACUGAGGAUUUGAAAACUAUUUUUGAGUCGUUUCCUAUUAGAUCGCUCUUUUGAAAUAAGAGUUUUUCUUUUUUCAUCUUUUUGGUUGAGGUGAGGGGAUUGGAUUAAUUGAUUCGAUUAAUAGUUGCAAAAUAUGAUCAAAUGGCAUCAUGGCUUAAUUCUCUCACUCUCUCUCUCUCUUUCUUCUUCUUUUUUUUCUUUUCAAAGUGUAUGCUAAACUUCUAGUUUAGAUUCGAGUUCAAAGGAUUAUGCAUGUUAGGGCACAAAGUAUAUAAUUAUCUAAACCUUAUGAUUCGAAAUUUGGAUGGUGAACUCUUUAAGCUACAUAGAUGACAACACUAGGAAUCUGAUAUAGGCAAACCUUAGUAUGAGAGGUAAUUGAAAACUUGAUUAAUUAUCAGCUUAAGAUAAACCUUGCUAACAAAUUAAAUCUAAGGAACUAUAACUUUAUAUAUAUAUAUAUAUAUACUUCUAAAUGAUAAAUAAUAAUUACCAGCUUAAUGAGAUUGAAAAAUACUAACAAAUCAUAUUGAUCAUCACGAUGGCGAUGAUCAUCGUCAUCGAUCAUCACUGAUGCUAGCUCAUCCUUAUCAUCCUGACAUUGUAUGUGUUAAUUAAUUUGUUCUUCAUCUUUUCACAGAAGCAACACCGAAGCGAAUUUUGCAGUUGAUGGGAGUGAAGGGAGUAAACAUAUCUCAUGUUAAAAGCCAUCUUCAGGUAUAUCCUCAUAUCCUUCAACUUAACCAUUUUUUUUUUUUUUUUAAAGGUUGCUAACUUAUUGCUCUUUAGGUUAUCUUUUUCCCCACUCUAUCCAAGAAAUAUAUAUGAUUGAUUUUUGUUAAAGCACUUUAAUUCAUAUUGUUGGUAUCUCAUUUAAAAGCCAUCUUCAGGUACAUAUAUUUAUGUUCCCCAAUGUAAUAUCCUUCAACAUAACCGUGUUUUCUAAGCUACCAACUUACUGCUUUUUAGGUUUUCUUUUUUCCUCUUUUGUGCAAAACUUCUUAAGNGUCAUUAGGAUGAUAUAUAUAUAUAUAUAUAUAUAUAUAUCUCUCUCUCUCUCUCUCUCUACUCUUGUGAGUAUAGAGUUCUUCGUACUCAUAAGUUGUUUUCGAUGUUGGAGCUUCCGAAUCGACGAUCUACUUUGUUAAAUAUGAUAUAGAGUAUUUGAAACUCCUAAAAAAUAAAUUUCGUAAUUUUUUGAAAUCAUAAUAAAGUCUAUCGUAAAGUCUAUCAAGAGAGUAUAAAAUAAACGGUUAAAAUCGAAUGAUGUCCUAAAAAUGGAUGAUCGGAUCCUUCAAUUUAAGAUCGGAGUUAUUGAUCUUUAUCUAGGUAGUGAAUAAAAUUUUCUAUCAAAAAUUUAACCUAUUCAAAUUCUUUUACACCAUUAAACUAGCAAGUAUUCCAUACCAGCCGUUAAAAAUUGUCAAUUUUGUGACAUUUUGAUCGUAAAGUAAAAUAAUGUCAAAAAAUUAUGAAAUUUGAUUUCUAUAAAUUUUAAAUGCUCUAGAUAAUGUUUAACGGUAUGAAUCGUCGAUUCGGAAGCUCUAUCAUCGUAAAAGCACUUCAAUUCAUAUUGUUUGGUAUGUAUCCACCAUUAUUGCAUGUUCCUUGUUAUCUUCCUGCUCCAGUGUUGCAUCUAUGGUUACAUGGGGUUCUUUAGAAAAUUUAAGAUUAGUCUUUUUUUAUAACUAAAUCAAACUUCUACAAUAUGAUCAUCACAUAUAAUUUUCUUCGUAACUCGGAAAUGGACAAGGAACAUUUACGGUGGAGUGUGCAGUAAGUGGGGAAAAUAUGAGGUGUUGUUAGGGAGCAAAGAGUAUUCGAAAAAGGAAGACGGGGCUUACCACUCUUGACUGCGGUGUGGCGCGGUAUUUGGCUUCAAAGAAAUAAUGUCAUUUUUCAGCGAAAAAAGAGUAGUAGAUCACCAAUUGUUUUCCUUUUUGUUUUGCUGGACAUCUCGUGAUAUGCUUAGUUCAUUUACGUAAUGAAUGAAGCAGAUCGCUUACUACCUUUUUCUCAGAUGAAAAGAACUUGACGACUCCUCAUCUAUCCUUUUGAUCAUUCUUCGCAGAUGUACAGAAGCAUGAGCAGCCAUGGAGGCCUAAACACUAACUCAAUUCCGACGGAAGGCAUCGACAAAUGGAUGAGCGCGGAUUGCAGCCAUCUCCCUGUUCGAGCUUCGGAGAGUCGCUGCGAGUAUCCACCAAUGAUGAGCUCCAUGCUCAGCUGCAACCAUUCAUACAAAAUGUUGGUACUAAGUUUCCAUGCAUUCUUGUGUGGUUGGCUAGAAACUAGGGCAGCUUCACUUAUACUCGCGAAAGAAUAAUAAACCAAUUUGUCAUACAAAAAAUCUAAAGCUUCUAAAUGUAGCCGGAAGCGAACAAAUUUUAUACCAGAAAACCGACCGUCCCUAGCGCAAGUGCCAAAGGGCUUGGUGGUUGGUACCCGAGGUUCCAAGUUUGAAUCCUAAUUGAUUUACAUUUCCAGCUAAAUUUAUUUCUAAAAAGAAAUAAACGAAGCGAAUAGCAUAUUAUCUUUCUCUCCAAAAAAAAAAAAAAGUUUAAACCGGGAAGGAACUCAAUUUGUAGCUUCUAUACCUUUGUUUCUACAGAAACCGUGGAAAAUAUCACGGAAAAGCAAUUAGAGUACUCAGUAGGAUCUUUUUUGAAUAGCUUGACUCAAACAAUACGUUUCUGUAAAUAGUCAAAGCCGACCCGACCUGCUCAAUUAGGUCCAUCUGGUCCGGUUUUAAAUUGGGCCAGGUCUGUUCAUGGUCCGAGUUUUUUUUUUGUUUAAAAUUGACCGAAUCUGAUCCAAGAUCUGGCCCAUUUAACCUAGGCACAAGCCCAGUCCGAACCAUUUUAACCAGGCCCAACUUGGGCCCAACGAUCUCUAAUUGUUGUUAAUUGCCCCCUAAUUUAUUGUUCUAGCCUAUACAAAGUUCUUCUCUAACUUUACCAUAUUCAUGUGAUAGCUGCAGUCAGUCCCUAGAAGAUGUUUUCAGAGGCUGGGCUUCAAAGAUGACAGGCUGUACUCCCAGUAGCAGUCGCUUUCUCAGCACAAGAGAUCAGGUCUGCCUCCUACUCUAAAGCAAACUACAAAUCAGACAUUCAAAGUUGGAAGUUGCAGUAAAAAUACUGAUGCAUUUCACAUCUCUGUGCAGUUUUGUUCAGCUGGACUACAUGAUCAAGUGCUUCAGGAGCAGCUGAAGUGCGAGCUAACCCUCUCAUCCUCCGCGCACCGAAUGCCGACAAGAUGUGAAGAGACGAGCGAGAUAGGCUCGAGCAUCGAGUUUGAUACGGGUGAAGAGGUCCCGAAGACGGUUAAGAAGAGCCCAAUAAACUUGGAACUGUCGAUCUCGUCGCCCUGUUGCUCUUAAUUUUGUUUAGGAGAAUAUAGAGCGCGUAUAUAGAGCAUAAACUUGUAUAGAGUGUCCGACCUUAUGCACAAAGUGAAUGAUCAGAUUUUAUAUCAUUUACAACAUCUGCUCUAUCAGUAUUACUGUCCAGUUACAGCAAUAGCUUUUGUUAAAUGAAGACAUUCUACAUGUGUGCACGUGUUUGUGCGUGUAGAUUGUACAAAUGAUCUCUCAUAAAAGAAAUGGAUACGUAAUUAAUAGAAUAAUAUACAAAUUUUGAUCUAAAACAGUAGUUACAUACAGAAGGAUAAUACUUCCCAGUAAAGAAAACAUGUAGGAAGAAGAGCGAAGAAAAAAAGAAAAGAAAAGAAAAGAUUACAUUGAUUAUUCAGAAACUAAUACCUUGUGCUCCUCCUGGUUUCUUCCUAACAAAACCAAAGUUGUUUACUGUACAAAACUUCAGCAGCAGGAAUAUCAAAUGGUAGAUGCAGCGCGACGAAUUGCUGUCACUUUUCUCUUCACUGAGUUGCGAGAGACCAGAGGGCAUUUGAAUAUCGAGCACUCGGCAUGAGAACUAGGGAACAAUGAUCAUGAGGUAAACCAAGGGUUCUUUUUUUUUUUUUUUUUUCUUUUUUCAUAUAUACAACUCGAAAUACAUGCAUUUGCAUGUCUACUUCUCAAAAGUUACAAUUUGCGCCUAUACUGAAAGAAAUAUAUGUACACCCUCACAAGUUCCAUUGUACACCUACAUCCAUAGAAAUUGCCAAAUAUUUUCGUGAGGUCGCUCCACCAAAAAGAGCUUUUUCCCUCAAAGAUGGGUUUUCAAAAAUAGGCCAUCAAUUUACAUGGCUUGUUUUUUAGGUUACAAGUGCAACUUGAACAUCUUGAGGGGUAUACCUGCAAAUAUGGCUAUUGUCAAGGGUAUCGAAGAAAAUUGUAACUUUUGACAGUACAUGUGUUAUGGAGGGACUUAUACACAGAAUCCCGAAAUUGUGCAUCGAAAAUAACCAUUGUCAUCACCAGAUCACAGAACAUACAUCAUAGGAAAUCCCAUACUGGUAUUGAACAAUGCCCUUGAUCACCGCUCUGGUGAUCCAGAGGGGGAUUCGUCCCGACAAACUGUAGGGCGUGCAUAUCAGGAGCAGCAAAAGUCUGUAACGAAUCGAGAAAAAUGCAAUUACACAUUUUUAAUUGAUAAAAGAUGAGUCCAUAUAAUAUCUCAUUGAUUCUAAGAGAGGAUAUGCCGUUACCUGGGUUAUAUUGGCAUUUCCAUGGAAUGGCUGUUGUUGUAAGGUAGAAGACGAAGAAUCCUGGAAUAAAAAGAUACAUGAUCAAACAGAGUUUGUUGACAAAAAUGGUUGAGAAAAUUUGAUGCCAUAGUUAUAAAUUAACCUGGUUAAACUGUGUCAGUGGAUGAAAGCUUUGUGUAGCACCAAGACCAAACUGAUGAGCAGUUAAAUAGGGGCCCUGCAACCAGAAAAUGCAAAGAACUUAAAUGUUUGAAAGUCAGAAUAAAGAAAAAUAGACAGAAAGAAAGAAAAAAAGAAUCAAAACCAAAAGGCAUUUACCGGCAUGAAAUGACUUUGUGCAAGGAACUGAUUGUUAGGAGGAUUCCUUGGUUGAGGGGGAAUGCCGAUUGGUGCUAUAUGCAGUUCAUCAUCCCUUGGUACAACCUCUACCUCCUCAGAUUGACCUGAAACCAUUUGUCCAGAAACCAAGUGAUGAUCAUGUUCAGGAUCUUUGAAAAGAGAAAAUCCACUAAAAAAAAACCAGAGUAGAUUUCCACCAACCUCUUCUUAUUUUGUGUCCCUUACAACUUGUCUCAACCUCAUUUUGUGAUUUACGGCUUGCGCCUACAAUAUUCUUCCUCUUCCCACUAACCUUCUGGUUCUCAUUACUAUCAUCGUUUUGUAUCCUUUCACACUCAAUCAAAUUAUGUGAUUGCUCCUUUGGGGCGUUUGAGAGACUCGGUUUCGGAAGGAUCCUUGUUUGCAAAAUUUGCUCCACCUGCUCUAGAAGCUGAUCUGAAUGGUUGACCAUUAAUGUAAAUGUAUCCACAUUUUCCGCAGCCUUUGCUGCGAUCUUGUAGAAAAUGCGGCAUAGAGAGCUAUACCGUUUUGGUAAAGAUGCAAUUGGACUUUCACCUUCAGCUGUAACCCCGCGAUUUUCUCUUAUGCUUCCAUUCUUUACAUCUUUUCUCCACCUCCUCAAAAUAUACUGCAGAGGAAGUUCUUUAACACUUCUUAAAUCAAGUACUUUCAGCACAUGGCAACACUGAAUCCCAACAACUUCAUAUUUUCUACAGCUACAAAUAACUGUGCCUUCUGACGGAUCAAACCUAACAAACUGCUCUUUAGUUUUAUUCUUAACAGUGACCACAUAGUCAGAUAAAGGCCCAACUUCUCCACAGCAGUAAACAAUGCAAUCCAUGAAUAGCUCAAACUCCCUUCUUAGCAUUUCAAAAACUGCGGGUGUGUAGACAUUUGCAGCUUGCCACAGCAGCCGCAGGGGAGGUACUCUUGCGGUACCAUUACUUGCUUGAUAAUCAGCUUGUAGUUCCAUUUGUCGCCUCUCGUCGACUAAUAUAUCAUACAUUUUUAAAGCAUGCGAAAGAUCUUUGUCUGAAGCCAACCACUCUUUUAGCACAACGCUCAAGUUUUCAGCUCGCAAUGUGCUUUUUAUAUCUGCAGAAAAUGUUUGACGGCCAUAAGCUAAUGCCCAGUUCCCCUUUUCCUCGAAUAAUUUGGCUAACCACUCAUUAUCUUUAAGGUUAUAUUUCUCUAACAUAGAACUCCAAGCUGCAAGGAACUCUUCUUCUUCGUCAAAAUCAUAGAUACAUUGGCUUAAAUCCCGUUCAAAAGAUUCUGAGCCUUCAAAAACAUUAGCUAAAUGUUUAACAGCACUCUGAUAUAUUUGCCACAUACAGUAACGGUGUACAGUGCCUGGCCACUUAGCAGCUAUUGCCUCACCAAUAUCUGCAUACCGAUCAGUCAAGAUUGUUUUUGGUUGCUUCCCACCCAUUGCAACUUUAAAAGUCUCAAACAACCAUUUAAGCGAUUCUACAGUAUCAUCAUAUAAAAGAGCAGCACCAAAUAUAAUAGUUUGCUUAUGAUGAUUCACACCUAAGAACAAAGAAAAUGGCCUACCAUAAUCAUUAAUUUUGAAUGUUGUGUCAAAACAUAGCACAUCACCGAAAUAGUGAUAGUCCAUCAUGGAUUUCGUGUCAGCCCAGAAAAAAUUCGUCAUUUGGUCACAUUCAUCAACUUGAAUAGCAUAAUACGAAGAAGGAUUAUCAAAUUUCAUCUUCUGAAAGUAUUCUAAUAGGGUUCUCAAAUCUCCAACCUUUAUGUCCUUACACCUUUUUCCCCUAAGGUAGUUCUUAUAUGUAUUAGGAAUCAGACUAGAAUUUUGACCGCUUCCAGUUGAGACCUUAGACAAUGGCUUCUGUGACUUCAGCAUUUGAAUAUCAAAUGGGGCUGCAAGUGGGUGGUUAUGAUCUGGGACAUAUUCGCUUACGCGAUAUUUACCGCUCGAUGUGAUUUUAAUGGCCAUUCUUGCAGCACAACCUGUACGGGUUUCAGGUCGUGGUCUCUUAGCCUCAUUUUUUGGGCGAAAACCUUCUUUCGAACAUACAUAGACUCUUGAUCUAGUGAUGUUUUUUGCGGUUUUGUCCCACCAUCCUUUACGAACACUGAAACCAACACCAACAGCAUAUCUAACAUAAUAUUCAUAUGCCUUAUCCUCAUUUUCAAACACCAUACCAACAAUUGGGACUCCUCCAGAGCUCGCAAUGACUUCAUCAGGUAACAUGGGCUCCUCUUCUGUCGUUUCUUCCUGCUUAUUUGAAGCCUAGAAAGAUGCAAUAACAAGAGAUGAAGGAAAAUACAUGCGAACAGCUUUUUAUGGAUGAAAUAGUCUAUUAAGCACAAUGUGGUAGAAUCAAUAAAAGAACAUAGUAUACAUCUACUUCUUCAAUUUAAGAACCUCUUAAAACGCUGCUCAGGAGCAUCAAAGCAUAAAAUUUGCUCUAUAGAUCAGAAGAUCAAAAGCAAGAUUUCAUGUUCACUAACGAUGUGGAAUUCCUUUCCCUCACACGACAACUGAAGUUAUACGGUCGGAAGGAAUGAUGUACCGUAAAAUGAAAUAGAGAUGCAACUGCAUGAAUACUCUUGUAUAUAGCCUCUCUGAAUGUAUUUCUGAACAUUUCCUAAAGGCCAUUAUCAAAAAUAAUAAUAAAAGGGAUAAUAAGAUUUUUUUGAAAAAAAGUUAUUUUUUCUUUAAUAAAAACAGCAUACACAAUCUAUAUCUAAAAAUAAAAAGAGCUAAAAAGAGAAAAGUUAAGACUCUGGAACUAGUUUACCAUGGUGGAACAAAGCACAGAAAAUUGGACUAACUUCCAUAGAAAGAAAAUGUUUGUUAAGUUAAAUGCAAUUCCACAGAGAAUUCUUCAGAUUGUUCAAUUAUGCAAGAAUUAGUAAUGUACAUAUUUUCCUACUUGAUUAGCGCAAUAAACAGACAAACAUUGAUUCAGGAAAUCUGCAUAAACAACCUGCAUCUCGUCUUUACGUAAGAAUUUCCCUCCAACGCCUCUCUGCCUUCUUUCCGCAAGAGCUUGCCGAGACGGAACCUGCAAGAAGAACACGCCAAUCCAAGCAUGAAAGUUUAAAUUCAAAACGAAUAAAAUACUUCAUCAUCUCAUUUUCCCUUUCCGGAACAAAAGUGCUUGCAUUGAAAACACUACCUUAAUGGACCUAUCCACCACUUGCCUACUGCUUCUCUUCUGCAUGUACUUCAUAAUUAUGUCCCUUCUCUCCUCAUGGCUGUAGCGUGAAACCUUAAUACCGAGCUCCCUCAGCAACCGGGAUUGGCCAGGGUUCGACACCAACGGCACCUUCUCCCCCUUAUUCCUAUUGCCCAAUUCAGCCGAAAUCUUUCCGGAAUUAGCAACUUUCUCUGCCAAGGUGGCUCCUUUGACCCCAUUUGCUGCCCCAUCCUUAUCAGAAUUGUUCUCAAUAGCAAUCACCUCCACGACCUCAGCGUCCUUCUUCUUAGCUUCUUCUGCUUCUCUGUGAUCUCUCUUCUUAUACGGCCCGCGCUUCUUCUUCAUGGCAGCGCCAUCGGAGGGGACGGGAAAGGUGCCUUUCGAGCACAUGAACCGCUGCAUGAGCAAAAUCCGGCUCACUUUGGAGCGCUUCCCCGAACCAGUGUUCGUCGUGAAGCCCAUCUUUUCGCUGUAGGCGGCAUAAUAAGCCUUGGCGGCGGACACGGAGUCGAACUCCAUGCCCACCGCCGGGACCAGCCGGCCGGAGGAUAGGGUUCCGGCGGGGUCCGGCGGGGGCGCCAGCGGGUGCGAGUGGUCCAGCGCCACACGGGACACCGACCACCGCCCGUUCUCCUUCCGCACCACCUCCAUCAUCGCCCGGCACCGCUCCUCCCCCACCCCGCAGCCGCCGCCGAUGGCGGCGGAGGCGGGAGACGCGGCGGCGGCUGCGCCGCCUCCUCCUCCUCCUCCUCCUCCCUGUCGCAUGUGAAGGAAGCUCCGCAUGAUGUAGGCCACCCGGAGGGCGUACUCGUUGUGGACAACCUUGCCAUCUCCGGGGCAGGGCGGCGGCGCCGCCUCCUUGAACUCCUUCAACGCCGCCUCCGCGGGUGGCUCCUCGACGUUCCGGGGUUCUAGGGUUCUCUCACCGUCCUUCUCCGCUUCUUCUUCUUCUUCUGCUCCUACAACUCCCACUUCCCCAGCCAUUUCUCCGCAUCCUCCCUUCGCCUCGCCCCUUUUCCUUAGGGCCUCGUCGCUGAUCUCCGCGAUCAGCACCAUGGACACACGGAAACAGCAACCGAUCGACCCAAAUCGAACGAAAUCGAGACCCUAAACCAUCCAAAAAAUUGCAGCUUUGUAAGAACCCUCGGUACACGAAACCCUCGGAUCGGGAUCGGGAUCGGGAUCGGGAUCGGCGGAAACCCUAGGCGGAGAGGAGGUCGGCGGAGCGGGGCGGCGGAGGGUCGGAGGGGAGGGAUUGGGGAUGGGGGGAGUGGAACAAGAGAGACGGGUCGGUGAGCGAGCGAAGAGGCGACACGUGCCCUCGAAGCUCGAAAGGCGACCGGUAGGCCCGGUGCACGGUGCGCGGGCACGUGCUUGUCGGACACGUGCCGCUCGCAGGAGGCAACAGGCCAACCGCUCUGUAUUGGGCCAAAUUGUUGAGCACAUUUGAAGAUCAUGGGCCCAAUUAUAAUUAUGGUAAAGUCCAAAUCUCAUUGGGCUAUGAAGGGGCCCGUUUGGAGUUAAGGUGUUGAGAGAGUUUAUGCGCACGAGCGCGCGUACGUAACAUGGUGAUAUUACGUACAGAAACAAAUACUCCACAUUACGUGUACUCGACCUUAGAAUUUUGCAUAUAUAUAUAUAUAUAUAUAUAUAUAGAGCAAUGCCACAUUAAUCUCUUGAUUCUCGUAUGUGUUUCGCGCUUUAGGAGAAAGUACAAGUAUCCCAUUCCCCACAGCAUCAUUCGCUAACCAAUUUCUUAAAAAGUCACACAAUUUUCAAUUGCAGGUGUAUCUUACUUUGCUGUAAUUCUCCACGCAAUGAAUGCGAUGAGGUGAAUUUUUUCGUCGCUUGUGUGAGCACUCCAAUGUUUGUUUGUUGGCAACUUCCCACCUUUUUCUUUAACCAAAAAAAAAAAAAAAAGAAGUAUAAGCUGCGCAGAAAAAGAAGUUCCGAAUCGGAUUAACAAAUAUUUUUUUUUACAUUUACUCUAAGAUUUUGAUGUUUCGUGUGGUUUUAAAAAUUUUUAAAACUACUAAAACUGAAACUGAAAUUGAAUUUAAAAUCGUCGAAUUUUAAAAGUCCGCCAGCAAAACCACAAAAGGGUCAGAAACCUGGAGCCAAACCCGAAAACCCGAAUCCUAGCUAGAAGGUGCAGGAAAAGCAACCCAUUAAUUAACAAAGUCUAAAAAGAGUCUAAACCAAAAUCACGAGAGGGUAAAUAUUGUACCUUAAACCAUGCAUGUAAUAGAAUAUCAUAAAUCUUAAUAGAAAAAAAGGCUUAGUUCUAAUUAAGGAGAAAAUUUCCUCACCAACAGUGAUUCAUGAUGGAUUUUUAUCAGACAAAGCAUAUUAAGCCAUAGAAAAUGGUAAAUAUACAAUUAAAAUGGUACCAUAGGUUAUUAUUAAAAUUGAUGUCAAAAUAAAAUCAUAUAUAUAUAUUCUGCAAGAAGCGGAGAACUAAAUCACCCCUGCAGUAAAAGAUCAUACGAGAGUUUGAACCUGAUGUUUUGAGAUAUGUAAACAACAUAGAAUUUAGCACAAAGUAAUUAAUCAAAUCCCCACACAGUUCUCAAUGUGGUAUAAUUAAUAGCUCGAGUUCAAAUGAAGAGAUAUAUACACGUAAGAAAAUAUGAGAAUGUGGUCAGAGUGCAUUAAUGAGAGCAGUUACAAUAGAUAUCCACACUUCAAUAUUAUGUGCCAAAAAAGAUUCAGGACAUUAAUUUUUAAAGAUUGAUGAGUUUGAGUGCACUUGUUAGAUGCUACACCAAAUGCAUGUGCCUCUUUUGUUGCCUGUUAGUGACCCAAAGCUACUGCUUUUAUUGCUUUGAAUGUAUUCUCUAUAUUUGAAAAGGCUUUAAAUUAAGAUGCAUUGUGUACUUUUUAAGAGAGUUAGGUAUGCUAAAUAAUCGCAUUGCGCCACGUAAGAGAGAGAUUUGUAUAACUAUGCGAUGUUUCACUAAUUUUUUUAACAAAUUUAAUUAUGCUAUAUAUGAAGUGAAUAUAUGACCUUGUCACAUGCAUGGUAUUGUUCCUUAAUAACUAAAUUGGAUAAACUUAGUAUGAUUGAAAGAAUAUAUCUUUGGCUUGCUGCUUUAAACUUUUCAACGUUAAAAUUGCUGAUAUUUUGAGUUAAUUAUAUGUACCCGUAAAAAAAAGAAAAAAAUUCUAUCAUAAUUUAAGGACAAGUGUAUGGUUUCACGGGGUGUUCAAUGUAGUUGCAUCAUUAAUUGGCUUAUCAUUUUCUCAAAAAAAAAAAAAGAAAAGAAAAGAAAUGGCUUUAAAUGCAAGUCCUUUUCAUUUAUUAAUUAUUGUUGAUUAUCUCUCUCUCUCUCUCUCUCUCUCAAACAUCCACCAGUGUAGUUCUCGAUAAUAAAUAUAAGUUGGAAAAAAAAAUAUUUAGUAUUUUUUUAUUAUUGUACUCUUUAAGAUAUUGUUUUAUCAGAUUCUUUUAAUUUUGUUACCUUAUGUUAGAAACUUUGUGAAUAAAUAAUGGUGCAAGUCCCAUGCAAACUCAACUUGCACUCUACAACUUUUUAUUAGAAGCCCUCCAUAUAUGGUAUGAUGAAUAAAUAAAUUAGUGAAUAAGACCAUGAGCAUUUAAUUCCACCCCCUUACUCCCAAUUUUUUUCCUCACAUCAAUCCAUUUAGGCAGGUGAGCAAACAAACUCUCCAUCCACCCCACAAAAGCCAAGUGAGCAACCCAACAGUGUUAGUCCUACACAAUCCACACCCCUUUGUAUAAUCUUUUAAAUGGCCUUAAUUUCUUCACCAAGGGCCUAUUUUUCAAGUAUAUAUAUAUAUAUAUAUGCUAAAGAAAGACUAACAACUUGUUCAUCAAAAAUUCUCCAAAGACGUCUUUGAAUCGUACGUAAAUCUUGUUUCUUUCUUAUCAAUCUGAAAGUUUAUUUUGUUGUCUAACCAUUGAAAAGAUAUGCUCAAGAAACGCUAAAUAUCUAUUUAAUUUUGUGGUACUUACUUUUUCUUCUAAUAGCAAACAUUUUUAAUAAGGUGUUUUACAUAAAACAAUUCUAGUACUUCUAUUACAGUAAAAGGCUGAAACAAUAAUCUAAGUUUCCAGUUCAAAAGCUCUUAUUUGAAAGCUUUGAUCCUACAGAAAGGAAUUGUCGAAGUAAUUUUAAUGUAAGGCUUCUCCGAUUAACACUAUCAGAACAACACUUUAUCAAGCAGCAUGUCAGCCUAACAUGCUGUAAAACCAAUCAUAUGUCCAACCCCAUUAUGAAAAGACAAUGUGUGGGGGACUCACAUUGUAACUUUGGUCAAUGGAAUUAAGGGGCAUCAUCAAACACUCAUUAACUACACAAAGACAAUGGUGGGGGGAGGUGAUGCAAUGGAAAUUAAAUGCCUUGUGUGGAGGUUGAGGGUGCCUUGGUAGGGGCCCCAUGGGACCCAAAUGGGACCCACAUUAGUUGGGUCAAUUAAUAGUGGCUUUGUUUGGGGUCACUUUUUAGGCCCUUCUAACUUAAUUGUUUGUACCUUUCUCCAUAAAGUUUGACAACUUCUUAUGUAUGAUGAUGUGUGUAAUAAAUGAUGGCAUAUCUUGUAACUUAAUUGGACUUGUUGGGUACCAAAGAAAAAAUAAUAAUAAUAAUAAUAAUAAUAAUAAUGUUUAGCACCUCAUUAAUGAGGUUGCUUGGAUCAUAAGGUUUAGUUACUACCUGUUACUUUUUUAUAUGACAACCCUGAUACCACAGUAUAUUUCAUAAUUUUUAGGUACAGAAUGAUUUUAUAAUAUUAGAGUUAUUAUAAUUUGAGAAUAAAAUAAUUAUAAAAAAAUUAUAUUUUUAUGUUUUCUAGUGUAUGUAGUAAAUAAUGGUUGAUAUCUAAAAAAGAAAAAACAACAAUAAUGUUAUUAUCCAAUUUCAAUCCGAAAUUUUAAAUUUUUAUACUGUGUGUGAUAAGAUAAAAAGCAAAUCAAAUUAGAAGUAAAAGUUUCAGAUAAACUCCUAACAAUAAAUUAAGACUCUAGAGGAACUUUAGAAAGUUUAAUUUUAGCAGUCACAUCACUACCAAAACCUUAUUGAUCAUAUCAAUAUCAAACACUGCUGGGAGCAUUUAAUGCAUCUGAUAAAAAAUACAAAAAAAAAGAGUAAACUAUAUAUAAGUAUCCUUUUCAUAAAGAUUUAAAAAAUAAAAAAAAACAAUAUAUGAUCUUAUUUUCACAAUUUUUUUUGGUCCUUUUUUUGAAUGGUAUCUAUAUAUUUUCACAUGUUAGGAUUUUCAUAAAGUCAACAGUCCAAUGCAUUCGUUUAUAACAAGCUACCCUUUGCUGCCCCAAUUAUUGUUCAAAAUAUUUUUAUUCGAAAUAAAUAAAAAACAUGUAUGAACAAUAUGAUUUUGUGAUUACUAAGUUUGCACUGAUCAAUUAAAUUUUUUUAAGAAAAUCUAAAGGGGGAAAAGGUUCUUUAUUGAAUGCAAAAUAUUAAAAAUAUUAUUUUUUAAAUAUUAAUAGGCAACAAACAAUCUUAAUUCUCCAAAAUUUUAAGAUAUUAAAAAAAUUAUUAUUUUUGAUAUUUUAUAUUUAAUAUUAUCUGUCUUAAACUCAUGUUUUUAACGCCAGGUAUUUAAAUAUUUGCGUUGUAAAAUUCCGCUCUUUGGAGAGGAUUUAAGUAGGAUUUUAAGGCAAUAUAUGGGAAGCACUAAUCUCAAAGCAUAGGGUGGAAGAACAUAUUUACAGCAUAUAUAUAUAUAUAUAUAUAUAUAUAUAUAUAUAUAUAUAUGAUCAUUAAUUGGAGUGAGUCACGCAUAAAUAUAAGGUAGUGGUUAGUAUUUUGACCUCUAAAUUUGUAUAGCCAUGGAAUAUAUAGAUUAUAAAUAUAUGUACGUAUCUCCAUUGAACAUGCACUUGCAUCUUUUACUUUUUUUUUCAAAAAAAAAGAAAUCUGGGAGACUCCUUAUUUGGCAAUUGAUUUAUAUGUGUUUCAAAAUAAAAAACAAAAAAAAAGAAGAAUUAGAUGUGAUUGAUUUACUGAUUUUCCGAUAAAUAAUAGAUUGCUCAUGAUCUUAAUUCUGUUAAUUUGUUAUUUCACAUAAAAAUCGACAUAUUUAAUCAAAAAAAUUAUUUAUAAUUUUUACUAAAAUAUUUAUCAAUAUUUUGCGGUAAAUAAAGUUGGAAAGAACCACUUUGCAUGUAUAUAAUUUUUUUUUUAUAUUUUGAUGUAUAAAAUUACCUACACAGAGAAUUUACAUUGUACGCAAUAAUAAUAAAAAAUUACAGGUACGUGAAGUUGCAUUAAUAGUGUUUAUGUGUUACAAAUAAAGUAAGUGCCAAUGUAGAGGACCCAUAACAAUAACAAUAAUAGUUAUUACAAAAUAUUUGUUUAUAAAAAGAAAAUAAUUUAAGCAAUCAUUAAAUAACAGUAUCUAAUACCUUAUAUCAUUUAAUACACCCACUCAAUAUUUAUAUUCCCCCAUUUAUUUAAUUAAUUAAUAAGCUCAUUUAAUUACUUCUCCAAAAAUCUAUAUAUAUAAUAUAAUAUAUAUAUAUACGUGUGUAAUCACCGCACCUCUUCUACAAGUGACCCCCAAUUAGGCCUCCUCCUCGGCGUCGUCGUCGUCGUCUCCGCGAUCGAUUCGAGCUAGGGUUUGGUGGGAGAUCGAGGAGGUGGAAACCCUAACCCUAGGGAGGCGGGGGCAAAUGGCGGCGGACGUGAGCUCGGUGGCGAGGAUGCUGAGGGGGUACGCGGAGGAAGGGGAGGCGGAGAGGGAGCUCGUGACGAGGGAUUUGCUCGGCGGAGGGGGAGGGAGCGGCGCCGCCGCCGCGAUCGGGGGAGAAGAGGUCGAUCUGGACGUGAAGGUGCCGUCGGGGUGGGAGAGGAGGCUCGAUUUGAUGGUAAUUUCUCUUUUUCCUCUACUUUUGUGUCUCUCAAUUUGUUUGAUGUUUUUUUUUUUUUUUUGCUUAAUUUGAUUUAAUUUGUGAUUUUUUUGGGAUCAAUUUGUGGUUGCGUAUGCAGAAAAUUGAGAUUUUUUGGGUUGUUUUUUUGGGGAAUUACUGAGAAUUUUGUGCAGAAAAAUUGAUUUGUCUUGCUCGAUUCGUAGUUGUUUAUGCAGAAAAACCAGAAAAUUUUGAUUUUUUUUUAAUACAUAUUGCGAAUUUGGCUAAAGUUUAAUUCUGAGUAAUUGUAAGGUUUUAUUUGGGAUUUGGUACGUGAAAUUCUAUUUUGCUCAAGCUCAAAAUUGGAUUUUUUUUUUUCCUUUUAAUUAGUUACCAUGAGAAAUUAUCUUCAGUUUGAAAAUUCCCUUUGUUUCUUUAUCGUUUUGAUGGUUGAAUUUUAAAUUUAAUUUUGAAAUUUGUAGUAAGAUUCCUUAAAAAGGAAUUUAUACUUAUCUUUUUCGGAUAUUGUACAAAGUAUCAGUAUUUUUUUUUAUUAAAUGAAAACAUGGGAUUAGUUAAUUUAUUAUAAAGCAGGAUCUCAUUCUUCGAUCCUUCACAAAUUCCUACUUUUUGUCUCCUCAUCUAUAAUAUAUAUAUAUAUAUAUUUGGAGUGACAAAAUAAUUCUAUUUUCAUAUUGCCCUGUACUCUGUUCUUUAUUAUUAUAUUUUUAAAUUUUUUAUUAGCAUGCUAAAUUCAGAAUUUUGGUACUGUUCCCAAGUAAUUUUUUCACCCGUAUAUACCUCAAAAAAUAAUUCAUUUUCUCAUAUAUAUUUUUUAAAAAAUGAUUAAAAGAAUCCUUAUCCUUUCUCUUACUUCUGUUUUUGUCAUUUAAAUAACAAAGAAGUCUUAGGAAAUUCUGAAUAAUAGAUAAUUUUAGUCCAUUUACUACUACUACUACUACCCAACCAAAACGAUCAAAUAUUUGAGCUAUUUUUCAUUAAAUAAAAACAGAAUUUGCAUGAAAAUUUUGCGCCAGUAAUGUUAUUACUAUAUAUUAUUAAGAUGAAAUUUAGAAAUAUCGGUGGUUUUAUGUACUGCAACUCGGUAUCAGUAGUAGCAGAACAUAAGAUGCUGAGUUUGAGUUCCGUCAGGCUCAUAAUAAUAAUAAUAUUAUUAUUAUCUUUUUCAGUCCGGUCGGACUUAUCUUACUCCUCGUCAUGUCCAUGACCUCAAUUUCCCUCCUCCUUACUACGCCGCUGCCGCCACGGCCGCUGCCGCGGAUUUCAACCUUUUCUCCCCCUCCGUCGACUCCGCCGCCGCCGCAUUCUCGAGCAGCGUGUGCACGCUCGACAAGGUGCGCUGCGCCCUCGAGCGCGCCGCCGCCGCCGCCAAUCGUGUCGGCUCCGCCUCCCCCUCGCCGUCCUCCGCCACCACAUCCACCGCCUCGCCCUCUCCGAGGCACCGCCAGUCCCCGCGCGGGGAUACGAAUACGGAGAUGCGGGCCGCCGCCUGCCCGGCGUGCCUGACCUACGUGCUCAUCGCCAGCGCCGAUCCCCGGUGCCCGCGGUGCGACUCGCACGUGCCCGCGCUCUCCGCCGCCCCGCCCCCGCAGAAGAAGCCGCGGAUCGACCUCAAUGCCGCCGCCGCCGCCGACGAAACCGACUGAGCUAGUCCUUUGUUAUUUUGAGCCUCACUCAUAUGAGCCUGCGCGCAUGCAAAUUCUUUUUGUGUGUUUGAUAUUCCAAUAAAAAUGUAUGUAUAAAUCAUUAAUAUAUAUAUAUAUAUAUNUGGGAAAAGAUAUUUGAGGUUUUGUUAAUUUAGAGAGGAAAUAUAACCAGGAAAUGUUUUUAAGUUUUUUUUUUUUUCACUUGAUAGUUGACAAUGUAAUUGGAGAGUAGAUAUAUAAAUUAAUUAAUUCUUUCGUUUUGGGAUAAUUACAUUUUCCUUUGUUUUCAGAAAAAAAAAAAAAAAAAAGUUUGAAUGUCUCCAAAGUUCCUUUAAUUUGUUGUCGCCAUGCAUCGUGCAUGGAUGGUUUGUUCUGAUUGAUUGGUUGAUGAAUAUUUAAGUUGGAUUUUAAUUAGAGCAUUUGAUCAGGCCUAGCUUGUACGUGUGGGGGCACUCUUUUGAGGAAAGGGUGGUCAAAAUUGUAAUUUCAUUCGAUCAUGGAUCCAAGCUAAGUACACACACUGACACACAUACCAAAAAAAAAAAGGGUUAAUUGAGUACGCUAAACUCGUAAGCAACAAUAAAUAAAAAAGUUAAAAUGCGUGAGUUAUAUUGCUAAUAUGAUAUUACUAAUCAAUUAAAUUUUUUUUUUAAUUCAAUCAUCUUAUUAUAAUUAUUAAAAAAUAUUUUAUUUAUAUUAUUUUUAAAAAAAUGAAUAUAAUUGAUUGUUGAUAUAUUAGGUGGUAUGAUUGAUAUAUCGUAAAAUCUCUCACAAUAAACGUGGGAGAAGAAUACUAUUUUUUUGACCUUUAUCAUUGAAUAUAAUUAGUCUAAUUACUAAUUUUUAAUAUAAUUAAUUAAGACUGUUGAAUAUAAUUGAUCUAAUUACUAAUUUUUAAUAUAAUUAAUUGAGAUCAUUCAAUAUAAAUGAACCUCUCUAUAUUAGAACUAUUUACCUAUCUAGCCUCUUUACAAAAAAAUAUUCCCUAUCUAGCCUUCUUUUGAAAAAUAUUCUCCAUCUAGCCUCAUUUUUAAAGAUUAAAAAAAAAAAAAAAAUUAAUACCUUUAAUAUAUAUUAAGGAGUUAAGUGGGAGAGAUUAUCUUUUUCUCUCUCCUCUCCUAUUUUUCGAGAUCCCUUCUCACUCUCUAAUUUUCGCGUAUAAUUUAUCUCAUAUCGAUUUAUUUCAAAAUAGAAAAUUUUCAUAUGGCGCAUCAACCAAUUCCAAUCUUUUUAUAUUUUGAUGGAAAUAUUAUGCAUGGUUCAGAAGGAGUUGAUUAUAAUGGUCCUGAUCCAAAAACUAUUUAGAUUUCUCGUACUUUAGGUUUUUUAAUAUAUUAAAACAUGAAAUUUAUAGACCGAAUGAGAUCAAAAUUAUUUUGAUAUAAAAAUUAAUGGGAGAGGAGAGAGAAAAAGAUAAUCUCUCCCACUUAACUCCUUAAUAAUAUAUAUUAAAGAAAUUAAUUUUUUUUUAAUCUUUGGAAAUGAGGCUUAAUAGAAAAUAUUUUUCAAAAAGAGUUAGAUAGGGAAUUAUUUUUUGUAAAAAUAGGUAAAUAGUUCUCUAUAUUAUGUAAAAGGAAAAUGCCCUCAUUUGAUGGACACAUCCACAUCACCAUUAAAUACACGGUGGGCCUACCCCCAUUUUACACGUGGCGAGGUAUUAAUGCUCGAUGAUGUUGUUCUCUUCUAUUCUAAUUAAUUAACGCGCGUGAGCAACUGCUACACUCCACAAUGGUCGUGGGCUCCAUCAUAAUUAAUUAAUAAAAAAUAAAUAACCAAAUAAAUUAAUAGAGGUUAAUAACAUCCAAUUAAAAAAAUAUAUAUAUCUUACAUAUAAAUAUUAAAAAAUAGUUACAACUAAUCUUUUCACGGCAUUCACGCAAUAAUUCAAAAGCAAAAUUUUGGAUAAAAUGGUUAUUUCUUUUGAGUUAUUUUUAAAGUUUGUUACUAUCGAUAAUAUAAUUUUCGUCAAAUUAAGAAUAUAAAAACUUGGUCUACUGUGUCCUUUUCUCUUUGUUUAAUGAUCAAUAAAUGAGUAAGCUUUUAAAGAGAGUCGUGGAAGAGUGAAAUAAUAAAACUCUGAAUUUAUUAAUGAAGUUGAAUGAUGUAAAAUCAUAGAAAAAAGUUUUUUUUUAAAAAAAGUAUGCCAUAAGAGAGUCCAAACUCUUUCACCCUAUCCAGCUGUUGUAGACAACAACAUCUAACUAUAAACAUUUAAAGGAAAAUGAGACCCAUCCUAGAGAAUCAUUUUGAUGUAACUAUCAAUAGUAAAUUCUAAUUAAAUGAAAUAUAUAUAUAUAGUAGGUUUAUCGGAGUCGGUUAUUGAUAAAAUAAUUUGUAAAUAAUAAAAUCAGCUCUGUUAAUAUCAUUAGCGAUUUUGUUACAUAUUUGUCAACGAGGAAGCUACGGGUCUCUUUUGAGUUAGGUCCACAAAUAUUGAUGAAGGUGCAAGUACACCAAAUUGGUCGCUUUCCAAUUUAUUGUUCUCCCACUAACAUAUUUCUCUUUUCAUUAAUGUUGAAAUUAAAGGUACUUAAACAUUUCAAGUAUCAAAGAGCCAUUCAUUUGUAAUAGGUUCUAAUAAUUAAGUUGCAUUUAAUGCUUAACAAAAAAUCUUUUGGUUUGAAAUCAAUCGCCAUUAAUUACUAGGACUAAACGCUCGAUGUGAUCAAUGUGACAUGAAACCAUGUUGUGUUGUAAUUGUAUUCAUUGACCUAACCCCAUUUAUGAGAACUUUAAAUAUCACAUGGAAAAAAGUGUUUGAAACUAAUCUUAAAAUUGUAUGUGUUGGAGUCAAUAGGAAAAAAAAACGUUACCUAAAUAUGGUUUGGUACAAAAUAUUUGAUAGUUGGAGAAGAGAAACAGUUCACCCACCCCUUAUAUCUUUUAUCAUUCUUUUUUUCCUCUUUUUAUUAGCAUAGUUUAGAGUAAUUAAUUAAGCACAUAUAUAAUAGUUUCAUAAAUAAUAUAAUAACGUAAUGUGCAUUAAGUUACAAUAGCCAAAGUUCAAGCUAAUUAAUAACAGGGUGGCAAUUUGAGUUCACAAAAUUUAUACUAAUUUGUGUCCAAUAAUAAUAACAUUAGCUUGAUUUAUUUAAAUGUCGAUAAUUUGACCAUAAACGUUCAGAAACAUAAUUUGCUAGUAACGAGUUAUGUUAUGUCGUGCCAUUUAGGACCUUUUAAGUAUUUUUUUAAGCUAAUGUCGCAUUUUGAUGUUUUUGGUACGUAUCUGUUUUUGUUUAUUUAUUUUUUCUUCUCUCUCUUUCUCUUUCGAGACAAAUGUCGCGGGUAACACUCCAUUAAAGGUUGAUACAAAAUAGAAAGAUUACGCAUGUGAUUAAAAGUCGAACCAGGGUGGUGACCCCGAGCUUGCUUUUGGUCGAGUUUGGAACCUAAUUAGGUUCUAGUCGGAUCCAAUCCGAGCCAAAUUUAGGCCAAGGCGGUUCGAGUCGGGCUCUAAACAUCUCUUCGCGAAAUCCGAGUUCGGAACCAGCCCGAGAAGAACUGUGUUUUAUUGUUUGGUCCAUUAAACCUCCCCUAGCUAGAAUAUUUUCUGGGCCAUGUCUAUGGGUCUAUUAUUGCUUUAUAUCAUUGUGUGUGCAUAUAUAGCAUGUUCAAUGUUUAGCAUUGGCCUUGUGUCUAGGUUGAUGAUCAUUUAUGGUCUCUAUUUGAUCCUAUUUAAAUUCAAUUUCAACAUGAGAUAGUUUAGUUUGGUUCAUCGUAGUACCCUUAAAAAAGAAAAAAGAAAAAGAAAGAGUAUGGUGGCACUACAACAGAAUUAGGUUAUAGGGACACAUGUUUGGGACACUUUUGAGUAAGUGUCCCAUUUAUGCUAAAACUUAAAAACACAUAUACUAAUGUCUAAAUAUAAAGUCCAAUCCAACCAAAAAUAAAAGAUUACUCUACUCAACCCACCACACCCAGUCCAUUUGGCCUGAUUACAAACAGAAAAGAAAAAAAAAAGAAAAAUCAUUUACCAUCUUUUCUUCUCUCUUCACUGAAUCCACUGAAAUUCUAGACGAAAAGCCUUUACUGUCGUCCUCCUCUGCCACCACAGCCAACGAGAUAGAGUUUUGGCGGUUGCUAAAUGCUUAAAUAAGUGUUGGUAAAUUAGCAGCACUCUUUUAGGUUAUAGCGACACUCUUUAACUGUCACUAUAUACCUAGCGACCCCACAUAUAGCAACACUUUUUAAAAGUGUCGGUAAUUUUAGCUAGCAGCACUUUUUUGACAUGUACCUACAUUUAAAAGUGUCGCUAUAGACCGUUUUUAUUGUAGUGGAUAUUGUUGGAUUUACAUUGUGGUAACCCCUAUUCGACACGAAUUUGCAACGCAUUAACACCCUAGUUUUGGAUCUCUAUUGUAUAUGUACAAUAAGAGAAUGCUAUAAAACUUAUAGCAAUUGAUAACACAAGUGUUGUUUAUGAUCAUGUUUAUGAACCAUUUUCCAAACACUGCAUCUUGGUCAUUAUAUAUAUAUAUAUAUAUAUAUAUAUAUGAGGAUCGAAAAAUAAAUAAAUAGAAAAAGAGGAGUGUUACCAAAACUUUUUGCAUUUGAAAUUUGAGUAUUAUUCUACCAAGCAUGCAAUACAUCUAGAAAAGAAAGAGUAAGAGAACAAAUUGAAAGAGAAUCCGAAAAGCAGGUAAGAAGAGGGGAACAAAGAAAAAGAAAGGGAGAAAGGAGAGAAAGAGAGCAUGAAAUGUCACGAUUUUGCCUUCUCGACAGCAUUGAUCACCGAAAGGAAGAGCUCGACGCUGCAGGGGAUUCGAAGGAUCCCGCGUUGGUCGUAACCUAACUCCUCCGCGGCCAUCUCGAGCAAAACUACAAAGCAAGGGUGCUUGAAGAGGUUGGUGUGCACUAAAACCCUCUCCCUCUCCUUCCCCCGCCCUACGAGCAUCGGCACGUAGCCUCUCGGAGACAUCUCCUUCCUCGCCAUGAGCUCUUACCCCCCCCCUCCUCUUACAGCUUCUGGGAGAAGCCCUUCUUGGUGAAGCUUAUACACAAAUGAUGACCACAAUUGUGACAUAUUUAAAAAGCUAGGGAUAAGAUCUAUAGAUGGGCUUGCAUUGACCUCUAUGCAUGGCUCCUUUGCAUUUUGGAUUUUGAACAAUAAAACUAAAAUUUGAUGGUAAAAGUUGUUUGAUUAAAACAUAGUAUGGAUUGAUUAAUGAAACAAGAAGCAGGAAUUUGAAAAUGCUCAUUCGAAUUGCAUGCAACAAAUUAUAAUUAAUCUCAAUCACAACAUUGUGUUUGAAUUUAAAAACUAGGGAAAAAAGAAAUAAUUUACUACUUUUAGUUGGAAGGGAUCAUAGUUAAGUAAUUCCUUCAUUGACCAUCCUCGAGAGUUUUGGAUUUGUUUUUGUGCAUUAUUGAGCUGACUCCUUAAAAAAUGUUGUUAUUAUAUUAUUGGGAUAAUCUAAGGAUAUAUUUUGUUGCAUCUAUUAUUGGUCGACAUAUAUAAUUAAACACUUAAUUUAAUGUCCUUAUCCAUAUGAUGAGCCAAUACUAUAUUUGAGAUGUCACUUUUACUUACAAAGUUGUAUGUAAACAGCAUGGAGAAGAGAGGUGUAUUCGUGAGGAUUAGGGUUUUGCCAACUAAUUAAUAAUAUUUAGUAAUUAUUUGAUAUAGGAUAUAAAUUUUUUUUAAAAAAAGUAAAUAGGGCAACAAAAGUUCUACAAGGUGCUCCUUAUCCUUCUACAAGAUUGUGUGAGGAGAUGAGGAGGACAUGUGCUUUUAACUUGUAGCGGACAAAUAUUUUGUAAGAAGCUUAAAUUGUACUUAAUAUAUAUGUAGUGCAAUAUCUUAUCUAAUACAUGUAGCUAGAUACCUUUAUAGAUUACUAUAUGGAUUACUGAAAUAUAUAAGAUGAAUCAAACAAAAUAAUCUGACAUAUUCAAUGAAUGAAGCAGAUAGCGUGCUACCUAUUCUCAAAAAAAAAAAAUUAUCUGACAUAUGCAGUAAUCCAAAAUUAAAUUACUACACUGAACGAAAUGAAGUAAUGCUAUAUUAGUAGGAAUCUGAAAAACAAAUGUCAAAUUUUCAAUUAUGUUGAGAUAACCAAUAAUUCUACAUAUAUGUCGCGAACCAAAUAGAUCGUGUAUGUUAUAUAUAAGUCAGGGCACGAUUAUUUUAUCCAAUAUAUUUCUAUUAUCAUUCUCAAUAAAUAAAACCGUACAAAGAACUAUAAUGAAACACCUCCGGACAAAAAAAAUAAAAUAAAAUAAAAAAUCAUAUGCAUGAGCUACUAUCGAAGAUAACUUGUUUCGGCAUCCAAACAAACCCUACCCCUAAGAGGAGUACUAUUUAGGCUUCGUUUGGGAUUACGGGGAGAUUGUGUUAUGUGCUGUGAGAAACGACGAUGAGAAAAUAUCUUGUUUGUUUCCGUACGUAAUAUUGCGUUCCGCAUAUUGCAGUUAAUCGAUUACGAUAUAUUUUCUGUAGUUUCAUCGGAGAACGCAGAAGUAUAUCUCUAUAUGUUUUUUCUCAACUCCAUUUUAUCUAAUAGUGUUAGAUUGAUCUCAAUACCAAACUAAACCUUAGGGCACAAUCAUUCACCAUCGAAAACACAAGUCAUAGUUAGAUCGUAGGGUCCGUCGAGUAGCCCAUGCACAAGAGCCCAUCUACAAUAAGCCUGUGGCCCAUGGCCCACUCUUAAAAGGAGUCGGAAAAAAAUAUAUUAUAUAAAAUAAAAUUUUGCUUGUGCAUUGAGGGUGCACCGUAAUUAAAUUUUUACUAUCUAUGGUAUAAAUAGGAUAUUUUUUUAUUGCACCCUUCUACGGAAUGUAACAUACUGUGACUGCAAUCUCAAAACGAAGCCUAACUAAUAAACAUUAAGAUCUAAUCCAUUUAUCAGAAUGAAUAAUAAUAAUAAUAAUAAUAAUAAUAAUAAUAAUAUCUUAUAUCAAAAAAGGCCAAGGUAUGUAUAAUAAAAAGAUGCUACUAAUUAAUUUUGCUAAAAUAGCAUUGUAAUUUGACUAUUCCAGGAACCUUCUAUACAUAUAUAUAUAUAUAUAUAUAUAUAUAUAUAUAUAUAUAUAUAUAUAUAUAUAUAUACACACAUUACAACAAAAAGGGUCUUUUAAAUAUAGGUAUAUGUCAAAAAAGUGCUGCUAGCUAAAAUUACCGACACUUUUAAAAAGUAUUGCUAUAUGUGGGGUCGCUAGGUAUAUAGUGACAGUUAAAGAGUGUCACUAUAAACUAAAAGAGUGCUGCUAAUUUACCAACACUUAUUUAAGCAUUUAGCAACCGCCGAAACUCUAUCUCGUUGGUUGCGGUGGCGGAGGAGGACGACAGGAAAUGCUUUUCGUCUAGAAUUUUAAUGGAUUGAGUGAAGAGAGAAGAAAAGAUGAUAAUUGAUUUUUCUUUUUUUUUUUCUUUUCUGUUUGUAAUUGGGCCAAAUGGACUGGGUGUGGUGGGUUGAGUAGAGCAAUCUUUUAUUUUUGGUUGGAUUGGGCUUUAUAUAUAGGCAUUAGUAGAUGUUUUUUUAAGUUUUAGAAUAAAUAUAACACUUACUUAAAAGUGUCCCAAAUAUGUGUCGCUAUAACCUAAUUCUGUUGUAGUG
rnacentral:lncRNA from 1 species